rnacentral:lncRNA from 1 species
UAUUUGUAGCUAGAGCUAGCUCUUUCACUAAGACGACCUUUCCCUUCGUUUAAAUCCAAUGGUUCAUUAAGGAUUUAAAAAACCUAACAAUCCAAUGGAAAGAGAAAGUGAACGAAAUUAUCAAAAAAUCCCAUGAGGCUAAGCGGAACAGGGUGGUGGGGGAUCUUUCAAUCCUGCCAUAAAGGGCUUAAUCGGCAUACAAGUGAGACAAUUUACUUCGCUCAGUGGGUUGGGAUCUAUCUCUUUCCUGAAUUUGUUCUUUUUCUGAUGUAUGCCCCACAAGGGGAGAUGUCAAUCUACAGAUAGUUAAGGUGCCAAAGUCGGUAAUCAACGUUCCUUUCUUUCUGGGUCGACCAGGUGGUUGAAUCCUUGUGAUUGAACUCUUGCAUCGUAGGUCUGGGGGUACUUUAUUCUUGUAUCUCUUGUUUAAGAGAGAGCCUUUUUCAAGGAAAAGCUAGUAAAUCAGCCUUAGAUUCUUCUUUCUUCUCCCUCACUGCUGAUUCAAUAGCUGCAGUAUCAAUUAAAUGGUGGAAAUCUCACUUGGAUGCUCACUGUAGCCAAUAAUGCCCAUGCCCAUGCUUAGAUGAUAACUGUGCAAAACCUAUACGGAGGGAACUGAAUUCCUAGUUAGAGUAGUUUCAUUAGGAACGAAACUUUUAAUAUAAGAAGAAGAUUGCGUAGCCAUCAUACGGUCGGGGGAAGACUAUCACUGACUUAGCUUUUUUACACUUACCUUUCUUCUGGUCUCACGAAUUGGAUUUGAAGCUACUUCUUAUUGAAGAUUGGAUCGAGCUGGAAAGCAUUCUGGCAGCUACAAUCUACUACAUAAGGUGGCAGCAAAUAGAAUUGUGGUGGAAGAAGCUAUGCUACCCCUGACUCUCAACCUGGAACAACAACCAUGGCAUUCUCUGCAUCAACUAUGUCAAUGGCUUGACUUCCCCUUCUUGCUAACAUCGGUUAUUCCGAAACAACCUCUGCUCGUACAUUCAAAAUAGUCUUCCUCCAAGAGCGAAAAUAGUUAUUCUUGUUGCCCAUAUUCCUUCAACAACAAUAGAUGCGGAUGAAAUAGCCGCAUUCGCUUAUGCUUAUUCGAUUCGGCCUAGCCUAUAUCUAAGUGAAUUUGUGAUAAAAUCUCUUCCUACUCGGGUCAGGCUUAACCGGAUAAAGGUUGAACUAAUUGCGUAAUAAGCUAGAGGCUUACCUCCACGAUUUACUAAAAGAAAAGGCAAGUAGCAUUGAGAUUUGCUUCGACUCCAAUAUCCUAAACUAGGAAGCGAACUAGAUCCUGAUGCACUACCUUUUGAAGCUGAUCUGGUACCCAAAGGCUCUUUUUUAGAGUCUAGGUAGGUUGAUUCGUAGGACGAGCGCCAAAGACCAAAGCCAGUUCUUUAAGAACUCAACCAGCCAUUGAGAAAGGCUUACCUUCUGUUCAUCUUCUUUCCUUUGGUGAAGCCAAAGCAUCAGACCAAUGAUGAAAAGCACUUGGAACAAAAGGAGAUAGAUGCCGAGAACAUCAUCACUGAGCAUGGGACACAUGAACUCAAGUGGCUUUUUAAGAAGGAACUCAAUUGGAGAGCUACUUUGAAUGAAAGGCGAUGUCAUGAAGAAUCUUUCGGUUCAGAGCAGUGCCCAAAUCUACCAUCUUUGCGUCUUCUCUUCUUCUUCAAUUAGUCUUUCGCUCCUAGGAUGACCCAAGACGACCUAGAUUCUCAUCAAAUCAAUCAAAUUAUUCAAAUGGAUAGAAUAACUUUCCACUAUUUUUUCUUUAAUGAGGAGCACUGGAAGUCAAGCUUUGAAUAUCUAUUAGAUCAAUCCCUUAUUUUGAUGCAUUCAUUGAUCACAGAAGAAGUGGUAUCUAUAAUCUAUAUAUGAAUCUAGGAAUUGUCUUUCUUCAUUAGAGAAAAAUGACUGCAAUUCCCCCUUCAUCCCUCUCUAUCUCCGGCCCUUGCCAUUAGUUAGCUUGCACUUACCUUGCCUUUCCCGCCUUCCUUGCCUUAGGGAAAGCAGUAAGUAGAGCGUGAAGCUGUGGUAAGAAUAUCUAUCUUGGUAACUCUAGAUUCUCUCUUGCAAUUCGCGAUGAGGUGAGAAGGAGGAGUGAGUCCUAAGCCGGGGCAGAAAGCCUUUGAAACUAGUUAAAAUUGAACUAACAAUCAACUAGGCAAUCCAGCUGACAUUGAAAGCAGAUGCCAUAAGGAAAGCGAUUCGGCUUAAGCGAGUGAAGUCACCCGAGAGGAGGAAUGCUGUGAUGACCCUGGCUUCUUAAAUAGCCUUUGGUUCGGCUGUCUCGUAUAGUUUAGAAAGGCUGCUUUUAGCUUGGAAGCCAAGUCUGUAGCAUAUGUAGGAAUGGGUGAAGCUCUUGUUCGAAGAGGAAUGCCUAUAGUUGAAUAAAAGGCAUAGUCUAAGCUUGAAGUAAAGUAGAGAAUCCGCUCUUCUAUUUGAACGAAUCCCUGAUCUACGACCAGCCUGCUGUCUUUGAAAGAUCAGAUUUGAACUCUUCUCGACUCUGAACAAAUGGUUAGCUUAGUCAAUUCACGAAUGCUUUCAGUUGCAGCUCUUGGGCCGCGCAUACAAGCCACUGCUGUUAGCUCGAGUCGUGGUGAAGCUGGUAUUGAAUUCGCCGUUGAAGGAAUAACCGAUGGGACGGUUCUUAUUUUUCUUGUUUCAUCCAAAAGUACCGAUGGUGGUGCUUUAGUUAGUCCAUAAGAAGCAUUCGAUUAGGAAAUAGCGUAAAUCCGGAGGGGACUCUCGGGCGAAAGGCACAAAAGAAUGAAUACCAGGUGUAAGCUCAAGGCAAGAUAGAACAGAGAGUAAAGUAAGCGAUCGAAAGCUGGAUUCCACAGGCAAACCAGACUGACUUACCACAGACUGUUGGGCAUAGAAUUUAUUUUCAAAAGGAAGAAUGAAAAAAAUUCGAAGAAUAGCAUAAUAUAGAUGUGUCUUUGGGAAUCCAAUUUCCUUCUUCUCUUUGGUUCUCAUUGGCAUAAUGCUCUAGUUCGACUAGCUUGAAGGCGGGCAAUUUUUCUUAACUAAACAGUAGGAAUUGGAUAUAGAGCUGCAAAAGCUUGACUUGGCUAGAGGGACCCGUUCGUUUACGUUAAUAAGAAUCGAAUCAAAGAAUCGGAAAGUUUCCCAAAGCAAGGGCAAUGGAUACCCUAACUGUCCCUGUAUCCGUUCUGUUCUCUUUUCAUCUUUGGUUUUUGAUGGGAUAGUGGUUCGCCCAAAGAAGAAGGAUAGAGGGGCACAGGAACGAAGGAAGCAAAGUUCAGAACUCCCGAUUCUUCUGCCUGGAGGUGGAGGCAUUUCUUCUCUUCUUCUUGUCUGUAUCACCCCGGCCUCUUAUUUUCAAUGUAGGAAAUUAGAGCUACCUUGAUCUUAGCGCUCCAUUUCUACAGCAAGGAGAGAAUAAGCCAUUUCCAAGAUCAAACUGUCCCCUCUUCCAUCUGUUAUCCGUUCGAAGACAAGAAAAGGAGAAAGAAGGAAUGGAGUCGAAGGCCAAUGACACUAGCUAAGUCGAAGGAGAAGAAACCCUUAUAAUAAUAAGAUAAUAAUAAGCAGAAACCCUAAGAAGAAAAGAAAGAGAACACAGCACGGCUAAUAAAAUGUGUAGUGUAACAGAAGAGGCUACUUUACCGAGGUUAGCAGGUGAGGAUCCGAAAGGUUAUUAAAUUUAAGCUAGUUUUCGCCAAGUCAGUAGAUCUAGUUUCUUAAGUAGAGCUAGUUUACUAUUAGUUUACUAUUAAGCCGUAUCUUGUUACUUAUGCUUACUAGGAUUUGCCAAGAGAGUCAUUUCUUCAUUCUUCAAUAGAACGGGUCGGGGCACUAAACAGAUGUGCAACAUAAGCAACUCGACUCAAAGGGUUAAAUAGAAUAAAUAGGCAGUUUUCAUUGACGAUAAGCUGGCGAAACCAGAGAAAAGAAGCUACACGCAAUAACCAACCAUAAUAAUAAAAUAAAAAGUAAACGGUUUUGAAACAACGGAGGAUGGCGACUUGAAUCUUUAAUCACUUUCAGAUACUCGAUUGACGCACUGAUAGAACGAAUAGGGGAGAAUUGAAAGUAGGUAUACUGGCGCUAAAGCAAAGGAACCCACAACCGGUAUAGUCACAGGAUCUACAAGAGAGAGCUUAAAGCAAGCUUCAUCAAUCCAAUCAGUCGAUCUAGUUGAAGCAGCAACAGAGGCACGUUGGGAAGUCAGUCUCAACAAAAGGUGUUGAUACGUCCUAUCCACAUAGAAAGCUUACCCUCUUCCACACAUUACCGGUGGAUGCUACAGCCGCUAUCACUUUGGCUGCAGGAGGGGAAUGGUUAAGUGAAACUCUCGACGUCUUGUUUGGUAAACGGGAUGUUUACCCAGGCGCCGUAGUCUUGCCUAACCGUUCGGCCGGAGAUGCCUUUGUAUGGUAUAGCAAGCUGUUUAGCUACUUGUAUCGAUUUGCCACAGUGUGGUUAGAUACAAUGCGCUGGCAGCCUCAGCUUGGCAGGAUGGGAAUGAAGGGAGAGGUUCGAAAGAGGCUCGAGCGACAGCGAGAGGUUCAAAGACGCUCGACUGAAAGGAGAGGGUUGAAGUGACUCGACCAACGGGAGAGGGAUUACUUGCCCAAGGUUUUCUCCCUCAGGGUUAACUACAUAGGGAGAAUCGCCUGGAGUCUCUUUCCUGACCUAGAAAGAUGCCCAAGCUCUUUGAUAGAUCAGAGUCUACUGUGUUGAUGGGCUUGUUCUCGAAUGCCCUCUUGCUAACCUAUAAAGAUGCCUAAGCUCUUUUGAUAGAUCAGAGUCUACUGUGUUGAUGGGCUUGUUCUCGAAUGCCCUCUUGCUGCUCGAGAAGGAGCUUUUGUAAGAGAUGGAAGGUUCAGGAGAUGGAAAAGUAGCUAGAGCAGGUUCCGGAUCAGGCAAGAGUGGUUUCAACCGGAGAAUGAGAAAUUAGAGCACUGCUGUUCCAGUCCUAGACUCGAGUUCUCGUCCUGCCUUACCAACAGGACAGACAGGUUUGCUAUUCGACUGUCGGAGGUUCGAAAUGAAUGGGGAAGGUUGAAGUAUACGUCACAUACGGAUAAUUUCAAGAGUGAGGCCUUUCAAGUCAACUUUCUCGUUGACGAGGAGGAAAGGCUAUCUUUGUUUUAUAUUUUGCACUCUUUUUCACUCACCUAUAAAAAACACCAUAGCACCUGAGCACUUUAAGCCAGUCUUUUUUUUUUCUUAGGGUCUGGCACUUCUUUCAACAUACUUGGAGUGAAAGAACCUGGUAUGAGCAGAAGUAGACUUCUUCUCUUAUAGUUAUCAUAAGUGGCUAGCCAAGCUCUUAUCCAAGAAAAGAAAAAAGCUUUCUCCACUCUAAAAAAUGGGACAACAGCUAGAAGUAAGAAUGGGAGGGCUAAACAUCACAUAAAAGAGUUGGCACAUCCGUUAUCUGUACUAACUCUAGCAGAUGACAUUCAAACACGAGUUUUAGGGGCCUGAAGAGGACAUAAAGCUAUCCCCGAAUCGUCUACUAAUUUCUUUUUUUCUUUUGAGAUGCGAAUGGAAUAUACAAAGAUGAAGAUGGAACUAAGCAGACAACGCACAGUAGGGGAGAGAAAGUAAGCCUUUAACACCAUUCUGCCUGAAAGAGCCUUUAUUGGGACAUCGCCAGGCCAGGCGACAUCUAAGGAAGAUUGACCACCGUCGAUUCCGUCAUGCUUUGAAUAGGAUACUUUCAUACCGUCUAUUGAAGACUAGGCGUCAAAUGCCCUCUUUAGGUUAGGAGGAGGUGCUCUUAAAGGAAUCUAUGUUGUUCUUGCCUUGCCUAAUAAGCUCUUUAAAAAAAGGGGUUGCUAAAAGAACUUACUUAAGACUAACCCAAUCCCUUUGAAAGUCUAGGAAUGAUAACUUUGGAAAGUGAAUAAGUCCUGAUUCUCCCCUAGCUGCACAUUCAUCGUAUAGAAUAGUAUGCCACAGUGUCCUUCAAAAUGCAGGUGGAAGGAAAAGGAACUCACCCUUCCCUACCCCCGAACACCUUCUGGGUUACAGAUAAGAGGAAUCGUAAGUAGUGUGAUAGCCUUCGCGUAGGUAAGGACCGAAGGGAACCUGCUAAACGGUUCACGAGCCGCCGAGAUCUAGAUUGCCAAGUGAACCCACAAAACUUUGUUACAGGCUGAGUGUCACGGUCCACGCGUUCCUUCUACUGCAAUCACGCGACCGUGCGGCACCAAGACUACUCAUAGUCAAGGUCAACCUUCACCAUGUCCAUUUUUUUUCUUCGCGGACUGCCCAAAUCCGAUCCUUCAAGCCGCAUGCUCAUGAGCCUUUUCUGGCUUUUGGCCCCGUAGGGUUGCUUAUUCCGAAUUCUAUAGAGAGGAACCCAUCUCUCAUCGCGCAUUGGCCCACGAUUCUCCAAGUGACCAUGAGCACCUAGCUCUGGCCGUAAGGCUUAAUGCUUCGAGCCCCGACCCUCGAAUCUCGUAGGGGCACACAGCCCCGGUUCUCUUGAUGUUAUUACAUCUUGGCAUGGUGAGAACCCAACACCACACCCGCACGUAUGAUACGCAAGCAUCCCCUUUACGCUGGUCAGCAGUCAGCUCGGAGCCUCUAGGCUCAACUCGUCCCACGGGACUCGAUUCUUAGGGCUUACGCCCUUUAGCAUCAGUAUUGGCCGCCCGCACGCAUGAUUGACACCCAACAUCAUGCUUAGUCCCGUAAGGGGACUCAGGUGGAUUGCCUCAGCUGCAACACACCAGCUGCCCGACUGGCCACUGGGGCUUAGCAGCGUGCCUGCCUGCUAGCCCGCGCAUCCUCUCGGCUCGAUGGCAUCCCUCCUACAUGAAUACCAUCGCAUGGUCCAGUCCCGCAAGGGUCCUUGGGUGGACUGCCCUAGCUGCAGCCCACCAGCCCGACUGGCCACAGGGGUCUAGCAGCAUGCCUGCUAGCUAGCCCGCGCAUCCCUUUGGCUCGAUGGUAUCCCUCCUACGUAAACACCAUCACCUGAUCCUUUCGGCUCGAGGAGGGGAAGCCAAGGGGCCUAACGGUCUCUACCGUCCAACCCCAUGGUUCAACGCAAAGGCACGAUACGAGGCCCGUCGGCCCCAAUCGCCCCCGGGUUUACCUUACCCGAGGAAACAUCGUGCCACGCUCGUGACCCUACGAUGUCUGCCCACCUAGACACCACGAGUGCCUAAGAGUUGCUCACUUCAGACUAGCCAGGCCCCCGCCUGCCCGCUAGCCAAGGGGGUGGUGGAGAGCUGACACCAGUCGUCUCCCUAUAAAGAGCGUUAGAGAUUUUCCCAAUAUGCUACCAGUGACUGUAAGAAUGUCUGAAACGGGGAUACUUUUCUGUCCAGCCACCUCAGGACCUUUCUCCGGCUAACUCAGGGCCCCGUAACCUUCCUCUUGGUCACCCAUGCUUCUUGAUUAUGCUCGUUGCUCCACCAACCCACUCGAAGGUGCCCGCACAUGGCUUAGACCGGCAGCACCUGACUGGCUAGCUUGUCCCAGGGCACCGGCGUACUGCCUUAUACUUACUUGCAUAUCUCAGGGUUCAGGACAUGGAUCGUCCACACACAAUGUCCCUAAUCUAUUCCCAUGCUCAGAACGCCCGCACAUUGCUUCCACAGAUGGCACCCGCCAGGCUACUUGGCUCGAGGGUGUCCAAUCACUGUCCCGAACUUCUCCGCGUAUCUUGUGGCCCAGGGCUCUCAUUGCCCCCACAACAUGUUAGCAUCAUGUUUCCGAACUCCGAAUGCACGCCCGCAUUCCUUGGAAUCACUUUCCCGCCAGCUCGAUCUCAACCGCUGCCCGGUUCAGGGUCAGUCAUGACAGGACCAGGGCCUGACCAUGACACUCUCCCCCACUUACUAUGUCGAUGCCCUCAUCGACGCCUAGACCACACCCAACUAUCUUGUUGCACACAGCUGACAUUUACUCAUAUGUCUCUCACUUGUGCCCUUAAGAAUUUGGGUUGAGGUCCCGUCACAUGAGGCACCGUCCACAGUACUCGUCCAUUGUUGAUGUAAAUAGGUCACAUUAUUGCACUCCUACCGCUCAGCUCGGUUCUUGCUCGAUCUGUUUAACCUUGUCUUGAUCGUUCCAUAUAGGCCAUACCAUGGCUUCAUUUCUUGAUCAUGUCAUGUUGCGACCUUGAGGUGCCCUCGUCGAUCAAUGACCCUCAGUAGAAUGAAUGACCACCCGUUUUGCCACUCAUUGGUGCAUCCCACCGGACGUGACCCCUCACACCAACUGCACGCUUAUAGCAUCAACCCACUGAUGUGCCCUUCUGGGCGUGGUGCUUAGGUCAACCGCACUCAUACGGCACCCUACAUGAGGACCCUAGCACAGUGGCAUUCAAGCACCUAGGUCAUCUCCCUACUUGGGUCCUCUCGGCCCCUUCAAGGUCACCUCUCUAGGUGUGGCCCUCUGGCCAACCGCCCCCAAGACGGCACCUUAAAACGCGCUAACUCGGUCUUUGCCCCCGGCUUAAACACUGUGCUCCAUUACCCAAGCUCCACUAUCUUGGCUCAGUCUCACGGGGAAUUGACAGGUCUCUCACACUUUUACUCGAAACUCAGCGCCGUAUUAUGCGUAACCAUAUCUCCUCGAUGGUUCUAUUGCUCGAUAAUUUUGACUCUGGCCCGUUUCCUAGGGCAUCUCAAGAUCCACUUAUGCUCGGAGAUCCACUGAUCUAACAGAACACCUAGUUCACUGAUUAGCUCGACUCGGGGAUUCACCCGCUCAAUCCUCAAGGCCUACUGACCUACACGCCUGAGGCCUUGUCAAUUGGCCAUUUCCCUUUUUGCUAGUCUCGCCUGAUUACACCCUGUUACGGCCCAUCGACCACCACAGCUCAUGUGAAGCCUUUCUCAUUGGUCAACACAGACUCGGUUUAUCGAUUCACAUGCCCCCGUGAUCCUCUGACCACGAGAACUCCUGGUCCACUGACCAUCACAGCACAUGGUCCACUGACCAUCCCACUUGUGGCUUCAAUCUUUGGCCACUCCAUACUCCUCUGUGCAAGAAUUCCAUGCUUGGACCCGAAUACUUCGUCUUGCGCCCCCACUGGGGCACCUGCACCAUACAGCAAGUGCACACAUUAGUAAUUAAUCUUGAAACUCGAUACCUCUUGCCCCUCAGGACAAGGUUCGCUCGACCCACGUGGCCUUAUGCAACACCAUUUCAUGGUGUAAGCCCCUUUUCGCAUCUCGAUUUCACUACGGUUCCUUCCACCGUAAAGGCAUCACAUGCCGCAACAUAUGCCAACACCUUUUUCUAGGUGAGGCUAGACUCUGGUGCCCUUUUGCUUGGCAUCCAAGAGUUUACUCGAGAGCCAUUUUACAUAGGCCCAUUAUUUCCCGCAGCACGCAUCGUUGGCUCUUUCCUGAGCCCUCAUAGGCACAAAACCACCUUCGCGGCUUAGUAGCUCUUUUUUAGCUUGGCACCACCUCGAUUUCACGACACUAGACCCGUACAUGGGGUCAUAUAAAUUCUCGCCACUGAGCCAACCUAGGCUUUGAUACCAAGUGUCACGGUCCACGUGUUCCUCCUACUGUAAUCACGCGAUCGUGUGGCACCAAGACUACUCAUAGUCAAGGUCAGCCUUCACCAUGUCCAUUUUUUUUCUUCGCGGACUGCCCAAAUCCGAUCCUUCAAGCCGCAUGCUCACGAGCCUUUUCUGGCUUUUGGCCCCGUAGGGUUGCUUAUUUCGAAUUCAAUAGAGAGGAACCCAUCUCUCAUCGCGCAUCGGCCCAUGGUUCUCCAAGUGACCAUGAGCACCUAGCUCUAGCCGCAAGGCUUAAUGCUUCGAGCCCCGACCCUCGAAUCUCGUAGGGGCACACAGCCUCAGUUCUCUUGAUGUUAUUACAUCUUGGCAUGGUGAGAACCCAACACCACGCCCGCACGUAUGAUACGCAAGCUCCCGUAUCAAGUUUACGCAAGCAUCCCCUUUACGCUGGUCAGCAGCCAGCUUGAAGCCUUUAGGCUCAACUCGUCCCACGGGACUCGAUUUUUAGGGCUUACGCCCUUUAGCAUCAGUAUUGGCCGCCCGCACGCAUGAUUGACACCCAACAUCAUGCUUAGUCCCACAAAGGGACUCAGGUGGACUGCCUCAGCUGCAACACACCAGCUGCCCGACUGGCCACUAGGCCUAGCAGUGUGCCUGCCUGCUAGCCCGCGCAUCCUCUCGGUUCGAUGGCAUCCCUCCUACAUGAAUAUCAUCGUGUGGUCUAGUCCAGCAAGGGUCCUUGGGUGGACUGCCGUAGCUGCAGCCCACCAACCCGACUGGCCACAGGGGUCUAACAACGUGCCUGCUAGCUAGCCCGUGCAUCCCUUUGGCUCGAUGGUAUCCUUCCUACGUAAACACCAUCACCUGAUCCUUUCGGCUUGAGGAGGGGAAAUCGAGGGGCCUAACGGUCUCUACCGUCCAACCCCAUGGUUCAACGCAAAGGCGCGAUACGAGGCCCAAUCGCCCCCAGGUUUACCUUACCCGAGGAAACAUCGUGGCACGCUUGUGACCCUACGAUGUCCGUCCACCUAGACACCAUAAGUGCCUAGGAGUAGAUCACUUCAGACUAGCCAGGCCCCCGCCUGCCCGCUAGCCAAGGGGGUGGUGGAGAGCUGACACCAGUCGUCCCCCUAUAAAGAGCGUUAGAGAUUUUUUUAAUAUGCUACCAGUGACUGUAAGAAUGUCUGAAACGGGGACACUUUUCUGCCCAGCCACCUCAGGACCUUUCUCCGGUUAACUCAGGGCCCUGUAACCUUUCUCUUGGUCACCCAUGCUCCUUGAUUAUGCUCGUUGCUCCACCAACUCACUCGAAGGUGCCCGCACAUGGCUUAGACCGACAGCACCUGACUGGCUAGCUUGUCUCAGGACACCAACGUACUGCCUUAUACUUACCUGCAUAUCUCAAGGUUCAGGACAUGGACCGUCCACACAUAAUGUCCCUAACCUAUUCCCAUGCCGGAACGCCCGCACAUUGCUUCCACAGAUGGCACCCGCCAGGCUACUUGGCUCGAGGGUGUCCGACCACUGUCCCGAACUUCUCUGCGUAUCUUGUGGCCCAGGGCUCCCAUUGCCCCCACAACAUGUUAGCAUCAUGUUCGCAAACUUCGAAUGCAGGCUCGCAUUCCUUAGAACCGCUUUUCCGCCAGCUUGGUCUCAACCGCUGCUCGGUUCAGGGUCAGUCAUGGCAGGACCAGGGCCUGAUCAUGACACUGAGCACGAGUGUCUUUCAAAACCAGAGAGGUUCAGUGACCAAUCUAGGAUUAUCGGAGAAGCAGUGAAUCUUCUUAGAAAAGUGAUGAGUGUGGUAUCUACGUGUCCCUAAAUUGAAAGAAAAGAACAAAAAGCAACAGGGGGAGUCUAUCGAUUCAAGGAUGAGAUUAGAUUGAGAAAGGAAAAAAUGCUCUUCUAUCCGGAUCUUGAUUUCGAAGAUCUUAGAUCGAGCAUCCUAAGCCAACUCACCAGAAUUCACAACUCACUUUUGACCGAAAGGAGGUGCCUCCAUCCAACCUUGAUAGUCUUAAAUGCUUCUUCCAUCCAAGCAUGAUAGUUGCAUUUUAUGGUCAAAACUCUAUCCCAAGAUGGUGAAUUAGACUCAGCCUAUGCUACUCGAUCCAUCGUUGAGAAAAGUCUCUUCAAUAACCGAGCCAUGGCCUUGAGUAGAGAGUCGAUGAUUUCGACGAGGCCCUUUCCUGCCUACUUGGUUCCUGCCAAGUCUUCUUUGUAGCACCAAGACUAAGUUCCUACCAAAAGCGGAUGGAACCCUAGGUUCGUCCAUCCUUCAAUCGGACGAACCACAUCUGUUCCAAUUCCAGAGGCUUUCUCCGAUCAAAGUCGGAUCCAAUGCCAAUCUUCGAUUCCAGAGGAAUUGAUUUUUUAGGAACCUUAGGCUGGAUGGUUUAAAGAUUUCGAUGCCCAGUCAAUGAAAUGAGAUUGGGAAGAAGCAGCUAACCAAUCUCAUUUAUCAGAUCAGUCCAUCGAUUUAAAGAUUCUUUUUUGCUCUUUCAUCCCCUCGUUCAAAGAGUUGAAGAUGGCUUGGCAGCAACUCUCUCCUAGUCUGAUCCGUCUAUCUGUGUUCACCUGGCCCGGCCGCUUUUGUCCCUUAUCACUCUUGCUUAUGGCUCUAUUUUUUCUUGACUGGCUGUACAAUUCGAAGGAGAUAGGACUUCAACCACUUAAGCAUAUCAAGCGAUUCAAGGAUCUAGGGUUCAAAAAGGUAGGUGGGGUCUUCAGUGACAGUAAAAGCAGUGAAGCUUUCAAUUGUAGUUCUCUUAUUUACUUAAGGUAAUGAACUUUUUUACCCGGGCAGCAAACAUAACUUUUUAUCCAAUUUAGUUAGGGGCAUUUAUCUUGAGUUUGAUUAAGCAGACAUUGUGUUCUCAAUCGGUGAAGCCGAUCUAAGAUAGAAAGUUCAUAAGUACACACAUCCGAAGAUUGGCUAGAAAGCUCAAACGGUGGAUGUCAAGAAGAACCUCCAACAAGAAGGUGAGAAAGAUCCGCGGCAAGGAAGAAGCAAAGCAAAAAGAUUCAAAGUUUUCCCUGAAAGCAUAAAAGAAAGUGACUUAAGGGGAGAGUCAAGUCAAAGCAGCCCUUCUCUUUCUGCUAUCGUUACUUACGGGAUGCAGCUUAUCUUGUUGAGGCGAGUCCGGUUGCUUCCUAAGUGAAUUAACCCAUAGUUACAUAGAUUCAAUAUCCCUCAAACCCCGCGCUAUACACCUCAACACAGUAAAAAGUACCAGUCUAUGCAUCUGGUCUUUCCUCAACAAUCAACAAUUCCUAUCCGUGUUACUAAAAUCCAUCCCAUGAAACAAAGGAGAGUUCAUUCUUGGGGUGAAUAAAAAGAGACAACUUUCGGGAUCCACUUCAAUCAAUUAUGGCAUAAAGGGCUUUCCAAUCCGUCUAGAUUAGACAACCUUCUUUUUAUGUUUGAUCAGGUGUGAAUGAAUAGUACUAAUGAUAUGUUCACAUCAUGACCUCUUGUUUCGGAUCAAUGAAGAUGGAAUCAACUACCUUCUUCUCUUUUGUUACAGCUUGCUUCUUCACUCGCUUUAUCAUGAGAAAAAGGGAUUUCUUAGCCCUGCAAGCACAACAUCCUAUCUUUAUGAAUCCAACCCUUUCCUUUCAUUCUAGGCCUAGUGUCAUGAGCCAACCUUGUAUAGGGUUAUGACUGGGACUUAGGUUACCAUGAGCCACCCAUGUAUAGGGCCAUGGCCGGGUAGAUCUCUUGUGCUAGGAAAAGUGUCCCCAUUUCAAAUAUUGUAAUGGUUACUGGUAGUAUAGCUCUAAAAUCUCUAAGGCUCUUUAGGGGGUGAACCAGCAGCGUAGUGUUGGGCUGUCUCACUGGUUGCUAUGCGAGCUUAGGCCACCCACCAAGGGCUACCCCCUGGCCCUGGUGAUGGUGGGAGGUCCCGAUGUAUGAUUCUCGUUUAUAAUAAAACUCACCCCGAUUGAAUGUCUCGAUUGUUGCCUCGAUGUGUUUUUCUUUUUCUCGAUGCGAAUAUGCCUUCUUGUGUGUGUGCUUGAGAUGAUCUCGAUAUAUUGUGUCUUAUUGUGAAUGCUUGGGACUAACCAUGGCUUAUGGUUAUUUGUUCAGAUAUCGAUCUAUUGAAGGCUGACUUGGUUGGGACCCAUUCAAGUGCCGCACGUCUAUUGCUUGUUGAGAGAAAGCUUAGUCCGUGACACGUGGUAUCAGAGCACGGUUGAGAAGUGCUAGAAAAAUGGAUGAGAUGGCCACAAGUGGUGGACCGAAUCAUCAACAGAGAAUUGAAGAACUUGAGGCCGCAGUGGCCGCAAUGAAAAUUCAUAUGGCGACUAAAGAUCGAGUGAGGGAGAUCGAGACAACCUAGCGGGAGUUAUCCGAUACUCUUCACAAUAUGAGCGAAGAGGCUAGAGAUGCCUUGAACAUUCUCCAAAAGGAGUUUGAGGAGCUCAGAGCACAAGUGAGCAUUCUACAAAUAGCUUUGACCAUAUCGGGUUUGAGCUCGAUGAAAAGGGGAAAAAGGCCCAAGGUGUCGGAGCCUCAAUGCUAUGAGGGGGCAAGGGAUGAUAAGGAACUUAAAAAUUUCUUAUUUGACAUGGAGUAGUACUUUCGAGCUGUACACACAGACUCAGAGGAAGACAAGGUGACAAUGGCAUCGAUGUACCUCGUAGGGGAUGCCAAGCUGUAAUGGCGUUUCAAGUUUAUCGAUGACAAGUGCCCAAUUAAGACUUGGACAGAUUUGAAGUGAGAAUUGAAAAACCAAUUUUUCUCUGAGAAUGUGGAGUAUAUGGCUCGAAAGAGACUUCGAGAGUUGGUGCAAACAGAAAUGGUGUGAGAGUUUGUAAGGAGCUUUUCUACCCUGAUGUUGGAUAUUCGGGACAUGUCCAAAAAGAAUAAGAUGUUCUAUUUUCUUGAGGGCCUCAAGCCUUGGGCGAGGACAGAACUACAAAGGUAGAAAGUGCAAGACGUGGCCACGGCCAUGGCUGUAGCUGAACGUCUUCACGAUUACAAUGAUGGCUCUUCAAAAUAAAAAAAUCCUCCAUCAGUUGGCAGUAGCUUUAACUUUGAGAGUGGGGAAAAGAUGACUAGGUUGGAUCGACCCUUCAGUGGGGGAUCAGACAUGAGGUCUUUUGGUCGAGAUAGCACCCAACCCAAGACAAGCAACGCAGGGAUUUUCAAGCCUAGGCAACCGUUAGCUUGCUUUCUUUGCAAGGAGUCGCAUCGGGUGGCUGAAUGCCCACACAGGGGAGCCCUUAAUGCCUUGAAAAACCUCAUCUCAAGAGUUUGUAAAAGCGCCAGAGAGCGUUGAAAAAGCUGAAGAAGAGCCAGCCACAAUGGGUUCAAUAAGGUUUCUCAAUGCCUUCCGCACCCAAUUGAACACUAUAAAGAAAGAAUAGAGUAGAGGCUUGAUGUAUGUGAACUUAACGAUCAAUGAGAAAGCCACCAAGGCCAUGGUGGAUACGGGUGCAACCGAUACUUUCAUCACACCAGAAGAAGCAAAAAGGUAUGGUCUUCAGAUUAGUAAAGACUAUGGACGAAUGAAGGUGGUCAAUUCACCAGCCUUUGCGAUCAGUGGAAGCUCCAAGAGUGUGACAACCCGAUUGGGCCCAUGGGAAGGAAGGUAAACUUUACAGUUCCCUCAUGGAUGACUUUGAUGUUGUUCUCGAAUUGGACUUCAUGAUGUUGGCUCAGGUCAUCCCUAUCCCCGCCGUUAGCUGUUUGUUGUUCUUAGGGGAACACCCAUGUGUGGUGCCAGCCAACAUCUUACCAAAGAGUGGAAAGAAAAUGAUUUCUACUUUACAGUUCAAGAAAGGGGUAAAGAGAGGGGAACCCUCCUUUGUGGCGGUGCCAAUCUACAAAGAAGGGUCGAAAGUAGAACCAAUACCUGAUGGUGUGGAAAAAAUGUUGGAAGAAUUCGAAGAGGUGAUGCCAGAGAUGUUACCUAAGGUUCUACCCCCUCGACGAGCAGUGGACCAUGAAAUUGAGCUCCUCCCAAGAGCAAAACCCCCUGCUAAAGCUCUCUACCGCAUGGCCCUGCCAGAGUUGGUCAAACUAAGAAAGCAAUUAGAUAAGCUGCUACAAGUCGGGUUCAUCAGACCAUCAAAUGCUCCUUUUGGAGCGUCAGUGCUAUUUCAAAAAAAGCAUGAUGGAAGUUUACGAUUAUGUGUCGACUACAGGGUCCUGAACAAAGUCACCGUAAAAAACAAAUAUCCCAUUCCCCUUAUAGCAGACUUGUUUGAUCAAUUGAGCCGGGCCAAGUACUUCUCCAAAUUGGACCUGAGAUUUGGCUACCAUCAAGUCAGAAUCAUUGAGAGAGAUGAGCCAAAGACAACUUGUGUGACACGGUAUGGUGUAUUUGAAUUCCUUGUUAUGCCUUUUGGAUUGACCAAUGCUCCUGUCACAUUUUGUACAUUGAUGAAUCAGGUGUUCCAUGACUACUUAGAUAAAUUUAUGGUCAUCUAUUUGGACGAUAUAGUGGUAUAUAGCUCUACCUUGGAAGAACAUCAAGAACACCUACGUCAGGUACUUCAAAGAUUACCAGACCACCAGUUAUAUGUAAAAAGGGAGAAGUGUGCAUUUGCUCAGACCCAAAUCCAUUUUCUCGAUCACAUUGUCGAACGUGGCCACAUUCGAAUGGACAUGGAAAAGGUUAGGGCCAUCAAGGAGUGGACAACAUCGAAGAACGUUAGUGAGCUCCGCUCAUUUUUAGGGCUAGCCAACUAUUAUAGAAGGUUUGUGAAAGGGUACUCUCGUAAGACCAUGGCCCUCACGGAGCUAUUGAAGAAAGAGCGUAAAUGGUAUUGGACGAGUGAAUGCCAAGAGGCCUUCGAGGGAUUGAAGGAUGCUAUUAUGAAAGAUCCCAUCUUAGCUCUCUCUGAUAUUGAAAAACUUUUCGAAGUUCAGAUGGAUGCAUCUGAUUUUGCUAUUGGAGGAGUGCUUUUGCAACAACAUCACCUGAUAGCAUUUGAAAGUAGAAAGUUAAGUGAAGCUGAAAGGAAAUAUACGGCCCAGGAAAAAGAACUCCUGGCAGUGGUUUACUGCUUGAGGGCUUGGCGACAUUAUUUGUUGGGUUCACACUUUGUCGUGAAGAUAGACAAUGUGGCUGUUAGUCAUUUUUUCACCCAACCAAGGCUUACGGUAAAACAAGCUAGGUGGCAGGAUUUUUUUAGUGGAGUUCAACUUUUGUUUUGAGCACACCGCUGGAAAGACCAAUCAAGUGGCCGACGCAUUGAGCAGGUGAUCAAAUUUAGCAGCCCUUAGAAGAAUUGCCCCAAUGGCAACUAGCAGAGCUACUACAGACAUUCACAAGUUGAUUGGAGAUCACUUAAGGAAGGACCCCGCAAGCUUGUGCCAUCCUGAAGCUAGUGGAAGAAGGGAAGUCCAAGUACUUCUGACAAGAAAAUGGGACCAAGAGGCCUCGAGUGUUUGUGCCAAGAGCAAAAGGUCUGAGACAGAUGCUGAUGAGGGAAUGUCAUGACACACCAUGGGCGAGACACCUGGGCUGGCAACGUACUUUGGCGUUAUUGAAAUAAGAAUACUAUUGGCCUCACAUGCGACAAGAUGUGAUGGACUAUAUGAAGACUUACCUCAUUUGCCAACAAGACAAGGUUGAAAGGAGAAAACCUGCAGGCAUGCUUGAACCACUACCAGUACCUACCAAACCGUGGGAAAGCAUCUCCCUCGAUUUCAUUUCGAGCCUACCCAAGGUUGGUGACCUUGGAGCUAUUUUGGUGGUGAUUGACUGGUUCUCUAAGUAUGCCACAUCCAUUCCCGCUUAUAAGUAUUGUACAGCGGAAGACACAGCUCGACUAUUGUUCAAACAUGUGGUCAAAUACUGAGACCUCCCUCAAAACAUUGUCAGCGAUCGAGAUCUGAGAUUCACAGGGUCCUUCUGGAAAGAACUUUUCAAGAUAUUGAGAUCCCAACUCAACAUCUCCUCCAGCUAUCACUCUCAAACUGAUGGUCAAACGGAACGAUUCAACAGAUUAUUAGAGGAAUACUUGAGGCACUUCAUUCAAGCCAAUCAGAAAGACUGGCCUUCAUUAUUGGACGUGGCUUAACUCUACUUUAAUUCCAACAAAAGCUCUUCCACCAAUAAGAGCCCAUUUAAGGUGGUCACUGGACAAUUACCAAGGCUACCUCACACUUCUUUGAAACAAUAUGAAGGAAAGAAUUCGAGAGCCUUCAAUUUCAGCAAGGAGUAGAAACAAAACACAGAGAUUGCACAAGCCUACCUGGAGAAAGCAUCAAACCGUAUGAAGAAAUGGGCAGACAAGGGUCGUAGGGCUCAACAAUUUUAAGUUGGUGAUUUGGUUCUUGUUCGACUGGUUCCUGAACAAAUCAAGUUCUUGAGAAAGAGAGAUCGUAGACUGGUGCGCAAAUAUGAAGGUCCAAUAAGGGUCCUUUCCAAGGUGGGAAAUGCUUCUUACAAAAUUAACCCACCAAAAUAGAUGAAGGUGCACCCAGUAUUUCAUGUGAGCAACCUGAAACCUUUUCAUGCAGAUCCUACAGAUGCUAGCCGAAAGGAGCCAACCAGAGCCGCCAUCACCAUGAAGCCACCCUCAGAGCGUCGAGUCGAAGAAAUCUUAGCUAACAGGGAGACCAAGAUAUCUCGAAGAUUAGUUCGGGAGUACUUAGUGAAGUGGGAGGGAUUAGGACUAGAAGAAACCAGCUGGGAGAAAGAACACGACCUCCAAAGAUUUCAAAGGAAGAUCGAAGAAUUUCAAGCCAGCAAGUCGACGAAGAUGUCGAUAGAAUAGGUGGGGAAGGAUGUCAUGAGCCAACCUUGUAUAGGGCCAUGACUGGGACUUAGGUUGCCAUGAGCCACCCAUGUAUGGGGCUAUGGCCGGGUAGAUCCCUUGUACUAUGAAAAGUGUCCUCAUUUCAAACAUUGUAAUAGUUACUGGUAGCAUAGCUCUAAAAUCUCUAAGGCUCUUUAAGGGGGUGAGUCGGCAGCAUAGUGUUGGGCUGUCUCACCGGUUGUUAUGCGAGCUUAGGCCACCCACCAAGGGCUGCCCCCUGGCCCUGGUGAUGGUGGGAAGUCUCGAUGUAUGAUUCUCGUUUAUAAUAAAACUUACCCCGAUUGAAUGUCUCGAUUGUUGUCUCGAUGUAUUUUUCUCUUUGUCUCGAUGUAUUUUUCUCUUUGUCUCGAUGCGAAUAUACCUUCUUGUGUGUGUGUUUGAGUAUGAUCUCUAUAUAUUAUGUCUUAUUAUGAAUACUUGAAACUAACCAUGACUUAUGAUUAUUUGUUCAGAUAUCGAUCUAUUGAAGGUUGACUUAAUUGAAAACGUUCAUUCAAGUACCGCACGAUCUAUUACUUAUUGAGAGAAAGCUUAAUCCGUAACACCUAAACUAGCAUAAGCGUUCAACAAAGGUCUCUAAUCCAAUCCUUUCUAUGACAAAAACAAGAACGAUUGGCAUGAGCGGCCCCCGGAGGCCUUGUGGGCAUACCGAACUAGGUGUCGGACUCCGACACCCUACUCGUAGGUCUUCGGAGGAGAGGAAGUUAUGCCCAUCGAAGAAAACCUCUUUUCGGGUAGCAAUCUAGGAAUACCUAAUGGAACAGGAAAGCGCAAUAAUCCGACUCGCGUGGUACGCCUCCUAUUAUCAACCGACGGACCAGGGGAAAGUUAGAGCCUAAAUGGGAAGGGCCCUACGUGUCAUCGAAAAAGUCUACUCAAAUGGAGCAUACCACAGCGGACUCUUCCUCCAUACUUUCCGUAAAGCGCAACGAAGGGAAGGAAACAAAAUGGAAUGCUGACUUACGUUGAGCAGGGCUAACCGAACUGGGCAACUUUCACUGCUUUCAUUUCCGAACAGAACUUCAACUCCCUUGAAAGGGACUAAAUCAAGGCAAGAGUGCUUUCUCGAGGGGGUUAGAUCCAGGUAGGAUCUUGCCAAAAAAAAAAGGGGUCUUUACCCUUCACGCCCUACUUUCCUUUCCAUGGUCUAGCUAACCCCUUAUUUGACCUAUCUGCCCGACCCAUUGGAACGGGUCCGGAUUCGCUGUAGCCAGCGGAUGACACGAAGGAUGUCGGACUUUUCUGUAGGAAGCCUACAACGUUAAAGUAGGUACCCGUAGAUACCAAAACGAACUAGCCACUCGUUUUCUUACCUACGAAAUUCUUGGCACUUGGGAGUGGGAAAAGGAUAUGAAUCAGAAGGCUUAAAUGCCGCUCCGUACCCCUCGGAAGAUUGAGAAUACAUCGUUGCUUUCAUUGCUUUUGAUCCCCUGGGCUCGGGAUCCAUGGGCAUUCUCUUAUAGAAAUAAUAACAGCGACCGAUUGCCUGCUUCGAUCCUCACCUUUUCCUUCGCUAAUGGGCACGGUAGUUCCCCGGAGUGGAAUCAGGUGGGAGAUUGGGAUUUUGAAAGAAACGGAGGGUUACGCUUCGCCAGGAGAGGCUGAGGACGAAAGAUCAGUUAAACUGGACUAGGAGAGUCGAACCUGGAAUGAGGUUGUUCUGAGCUUGGUUCCGAAUCAACAGCUGCUAUGCCUUGCGAUCCAGGUUAGUUGGUUGAGUUUUUGCGGUGGUUUUCUACACUAUUUCCACUCUGUGUGUAUAGCGAGUGUGCAGUUAGGAUAUUGGGUUUUAGACUGAUUUUUGCUUUCCCUGCUUCGACUUUCAUCGAGACGAGAGUGGCUUGAUGUUCUUCGUACAAGAUCAGAAAGUCUUUCUUCGUCUUGGUGAACUCUCUUCUUCAACUGACUAAGAAAGUGGAUUGAGAAACCUGCGCCCAAUGAGCCUAGCCUGAAAGAGGAAGAUUCUUAUCCGUGACCGAAAUGGUCUUGCAAAGCCGGUCCCCAGAUGGUGUAAGUCCUACUCAAUCAAAAGAAGCACAGGUUAGACAGACGCUCGACUGAAAGGAGAGGAAGGUUUGGGAAGAUAAUGACCGAAAGUAUACCACACAUCAAGCAGACCAAACCCUAUCAAAAUAGUCUUCUAUGCCCUGGAGCUGGAGCGAAAGAAGACAAUCCUGCUAUUUGAAUUCCACACAUUGACUGGAUCACCGUGGGAAUCCCUAAGGAAGCAUUGGCUGAGCUGUUCAAAGAAGAUGAGACUUCAAUGACUGAGACUGAUGUGAUGGUCACUAUGGAAGAAGCUGACUGUGAUGCUUCCACUAUUCUCUAUCCUGCUCACUCUGCCGAGGCUCUCCAGAACUGGGAGGCUGUGCCCAUUGUUCAGGGGAAUGAGCCGGGUUUUCGGUCAAAUGUUUAGUAAUCGAUUAUUUGUAAUUUAUUUUAAGACAUUUUUAUGUUUUAUUAUAUUAUAAAUUAAAUAAAAAAUUUUUAUUUUAAAUUUAAUUAAAAAUUAUUUUUUUAUUUUUUUAUUUUAAGAUGUCAAAAAAUUUUUCUUUAUGAUCGAAUGAAUGUGACUGUCCUUGAGACUACUGGCUAUGAAUCUGCUGUCGAGAUUGAUUCUGAUGCAAUGGGAAUUGAGGUUGACAAGACCGAAGGAGCUAAUGAACCACCUGCUGAAAUUAUUGAGGAAGUUGAGAGGUUCGAGACUAGAUCUUUACCAAACAUUGAACAAACUGAGACCUGUGGGAACCGAGGCAAACCACCGAGAGUGACAAGGGCUUAGCGGCUUUUCACCGAAAAAGGAUCUGAUCAGAUUCCUCACAGAAUAUCAAGAUGUCUUCGCUUGGUCAAAUGAGGAUAUGCCCGGAUUAGACACCAAGAUUGUGGUGCACAAGUUGCCAGUCAUGCCAGAAUUCUCACCAGUAAAGAAAAAACUUCGAAGAAUUCGUCCAGAAUGGAGUAAUAAAGUGCAAGGAACAAACAAAAAAGGCCAAAUUCAUCGUCGUCAGCACUUAUCCAAUCUGGCUCUCUAAUGUUGUACCGGUACAUAGAACCACCAAACAGAAAAUCCAAUCAAUAAGCAGGUUAGGAGAACAAAUCGAAUAUCCCGUGCGUACGAAUAAACAAUAGCUUCCGAUAGCCGAAAUUCUUUUCUUCGGGAAGUUUCCCUCUGCGCAUCUAACAAUUCUUGCUUGCGAUCUGGAGAGCGAAGUAAAUAAGGGUCUUCCCCGCCUUCUGCUAUCUUGAAUGGAAGUUGAUUCUUAUUUGCAGUCUUCGAGUCGGAUGGUUGUCCCUUCUUCUCAACAGAAUCCUAUAGACAAGAAAGAAUCGAAAGCAGUCCUUUGCGCAUUGUCUUCUUCAUUGCAUUGGAUGCCUUUCUCCCCUACCCCAAUCCCUAGCUAGCAGCAAUCAUUCCCUCACCUGUCCCAUGUUGGGAAUCCUCUUUUGCUCGUGGAUAUCUAAUGCUAGAAGGCAACAUCCAACAUAGCCAUAGAGUGGCUUACCCAACAAGUAAAGACAUCCAUGCAAACCCCUGAAAGUCUGUCUUCUUUUAAUGAAUGCCCUAGGCCUUCUUCAUUCACUUGCGCAACCCUCCCUAAUAGCCUAUGGAUGUGCAGUGGAUUCUCGAACAAAAACAGCUUGCAUUCUAAUUUCACUAGUGGCAAAAAAGGCUAAUCCCGGUUAUUCCCCCAAAUAAAUCCCCUCUUCUGCUUUCGCUUAAGGAAUAGAUUAAAAAGCAUCCGAUUUGCGGCAUCAAUCCGAUAAGGAUCUCAUGAGUGGAUCACUAGAAGGCUUGGGCAUGAAAAGAUUCGUUGAGUAAGAUUCAUGUAUAUAGGCUAUUUGCCUUGUCUCUGCCUACUGUAUAAAACAGGGGAAUAGGGAAUCCUCUAGCACCGCGCCCAUGGUGUGAGGAAGCUUGGCACGCACCGACCGAGACUGCAUUCCUACCAUUAGCAUGAACUCUGAACUUCCCGGGAUUCACUUCUUUAGGAGUGAACGAAGCCAAGUGGCUCAGUAACCUUUCUUUGUCGAUUGGGUCCUGGUUCUAGGGCGCCCUCGUAACGUGAAGAUCAGAGUCGCCUCCUCUACUGCAAAGAGAAAGAGACUGAUUUAGUGAAGUCUGGCAUCUGCUCUUUUGAACGAAUCCGGUGAUAGUCCUUCCUUGGCUUCUACUUGAGUUGGUCGAGGUCGAUAUUUUCUUGGUUUUUUUUUCUUUGUACCCAUAGAUCGGAGAAUGUGAAAAGCUUUCUCUAUCCGCUAGGCGCAUCUCUUCUUUCACUCUUGUUGAAUAAGAUGUUCUUCUUCUUGCCUCUCUAGCCUUUAGCACAGCAGUAGGAAUUGUCCUAAUCGUUAGGUCUACCCGCUUUGAAUCUGUUGGAGUAAGGGCAAUUGGUCUUGGUGGGUAGGGCAUUCUAAAGGCAUUCAUUUCUUCCUCGCCCAGUCAGUCAGGUCGGGACCAAGGAAGCUUGGGCUCUCUUUCCUCUAUGGCAAUUUUUGGUCCCAGCUAAACAAGAGAAAGAGCAUCUAUCCUAGCUGCGGUAAUGCCGAUUCCAAGACCAGUGUAGGCUUGCUUCGCAUAGGCUACACAAGCUAGGUUCAAGCUUUCAAGCAGAAAGGCAGACGGGAUGAUCAUUAUAAUACGAUGCUAGCACCUGAUUAGCAAGAAAAGCUUUCCCUGCUCUGCUCUUAGCAAUGAUCUGUCUAGGGCUACUUUCAAAACUUCGGAUUCUGUAAUAAGACCCUCUUCAUGGGCAUUCUUCGACUUAGAAUCAAAUUCAUACCCGUCAAUCUCCGAUGUGGGGGUAGAAUCUGCUCUUACAGUUGCCGGUGUAAGCAAUUCAAUCAGAAUAAGCUGCUUGAGAAUCUAGCUAUUUCCUGCCUGAAUGUCCGGGGAGCCGGAAGUGAAUCGUAGAGCAGCAGGUUUUUUAGUAAAAGAAGAUGGUAUCGAAUGAGACAAGGUUUAGAAUCCAUAGUUAACCGAGGAAAGACAAUAACAAAAAAUAGUAGAAGAGAUCGAUCCACUAGCUUGGCAGUAGGACUUGUUUCAGCUAUUCACAAGGAUUGCUCAACUAUAGGUAGGCGUGGUAGCAUGGUUGUGAAAAAAGACUUGACUUCUGCUCUCGGAAUAAUAAUACGAAUUGCUCAAGUUGAAUUGCUUUUUUCUUUCGAUAAUGCCUUCAAUGCGGGUUGAAGGAAGAAGACAGCAGGUGUAUGGUAUAGCUCUUAUCUGUUCGCUCCUGUCGACUCUGAACUCAUGAUGGAGGAUGGGCUACUGGAGAAAGGGUGAAGACCGGGCGGGCUGGCAGGCGACAAUAGCAAUAGAGUGGCCAAGCGUUGACAGAGAGGAGACUUUUUCUAGCAGAAAAGCAGACUGACCCGAUUCUAAUUAUAUUCAUAUCAGACAGGGCAGAGAAUGGAUUCAAUUAUCAACAUCAUCUAAGUAAGAAAAGCAGCAAAGAACAUGAGUAGCAGAAGCAUAGGCUUUGUGGUUACCGGGCAGAGGGAGGGUAGUAAACACCUUGCCUCAUCAAGCCCAUCCACAUCAAUAGCUCACUAUCCACCAACAUAAAAAUAAGGGACUGGCGAAUCAGCUGUUAAGUAGCCACUCUUGUUAGUGCCUACUGGAUUGACUGCUUUAAUGCUCUUACUGUUCUUGACGAAGCUCCUGGUGCAAAUGAAAGAAAGAAGAAUGAUCUCCUCCCGCAAUUGAAGAAGAAUCUGCUGCUAGUCUUUUAGCCAUAGACGCUCUUGAGUAAAUAUCAUCUGUGGUCCUAUCAGCUCAACCAGUUGCCGGUCUUGUUUGCGUAGUAAAUGGUUUUUUUGGCUCCAUACGGUGUUUGAGAGGAAGCUGCUAUUCUAAAAUCUGGUCUGUCUGUAAGCAAUUACCUUUCCUGUCUUGCUUUAGUCGGUGACUCUAUGCCCUCUGCUUCGACUUCAAAUGUGAGAGUAGAAUCGGUUGUGCUAGAAUCCGCUCUAACCGUAGCAGCUCUUAUCCUAUCUGCUCUUGGUCUUAUAACCGGUGGUGGAGGAAGAGAAGGAGACAAAGUUCAUCGAAAAAGAAAUAGAGAUGGGAAAAUGCAAUCAAAGAGGAAGAUAAAAAUAUCGUAAGAGAAAAAGUUUCAUAAUAUGUUCGAAAGAAAUAAAAUAAAAAUAAGAAUAUUGUAAUUGUUUCGUAUUGUAGAAGUUUCAUAAAAAUAUCGUAAGUAAUUUCUUGUUUCAUCGAACUGCAUUAUCGGUUGAUAGUUUCAUAAUACGUUCUUUCUUUCUUUCUGAAAGUUGUGAUCGACAAACCCCCAUCCAAAGAGCAAUGCCAAGAGUGGACUAGGCCUAAUGGCGGUCCCGCAAAAUCGAUCACCGGGGCUAAGAUCUUUUUUGAAGAAAGAUAGCACUUAACAAUAACUAUAUGAUUUGAGGGAAGAUAACUUUAAGCAAUGGAAACUCUCACGGCGGGGUAUCUAACCCGGAACCUUCUAACCAAAAAGGACGAAAAGGAGAGGUUUGAAGGGGAAAGUUCUCUAACCUGGGAAAAAGCCAACUCUUUUAUCUUUUCUUUUCCACGAUGAUAAUAAAGUCUGCCAGAAUACCAAAGUGAACUUAAGUUUAAGAAUUUGAAACUAUCUGAAAGAAGGAUAAUUGUAUUCCGGUUUUUUUCUUUCCUUUCGUUAUCUAGUUCCAUUCCUUUCCUUUCAGUAGCUUCGUUCCUCUCGCUCCUGGCUCGUGUUGCCUGUGCGAAGCAAGCCUUCACUAGUCCAUAAGAGAACGAGUGAAAUAGAUAUCACGAGAAAGAGAAAGGGUGGAAAGUAGGAGUAGAAUAAGAUGGAAAGCAAUCGCGUUCGGGAAAAGAGUUUGCUGAUGAAGACUAUCCCUUAAUCAGAUUAAUAGUUGAUGUGACGUUCUGGACCGGCCACGAGAGAAUAGGAUUUAACGAAGGCAUGUAGCGACCUCCCUUUGGUCGCCUUGCUAAAGCCCUGCAGAGUGAAAAGUGAAAACUGACUUGCCUUACAAAAAAAAAGCGAAGCCCAUGUAUACUGGUAAAAAGAACGGCUAUAAGAAUCAUAGAAAGUAAUAAUGCCAUUCCACGUAUGAAAUCACUAGCGCUUCACAUCUUUUAAACUCGAGACUUCUCCGAAGACGGCAGAUAAUAUCUCAAAGUGGAUACUCUGGAAAGAGCUGAUUCUAUGAUUUGAAUCUAAAUCAGAUACUCGAAAAGAGAUAAAAGGUCUGGUCUGCUUUUCAGUUACUCCCCUGCUACCUUCCCAGAAGAAGGAUAAGGCUUUCCUUUUGAGUUGAAGAAAGGAGCUAAGCUGGUAAGAGACCUAUACCUAUGGUUGAUAAAAGAGAAUAUCUGGCCUCAGAGCUUUCGCUACGCAUUUGAAAACGUAACAAUAUAAGACACAUCGUAGUGCUAGAAAAGACUGAUGUGACUUCCGAGCUUAAAAGCCUUAUUCUAUUAGUUCAGUCAAAGCCUUGCUCUUUACAGAACACAUGGGAAAGAGCAUUUUCUAUCUCUGAGUGAAUCUGAACUUACGGCUUUACGCAAACAAGCCAAUCAUUUCUACUUAGUUCAACUUCUGGGUCGAAGCCGAGGGGAGUAGGGUCUAUGAAAGCAAAUGGGCAUUAACGCGCCUUUCAUCGGUCAUUGAAGGAAAGCGUUUAUGGAGCAACAUGUAUCAACGUGUUAUCUGCCAUGAGCUAAUCUUGUAUAGGAUCAUGAUUAAAGUUUAAGUUGUCAUGAAUCAUUCAUGUAUAAGAUUAUAGUCGGAUAGAUCUCUUGUGUUAAAAAAAGUGUACUCAUUUCAAAUAUUAUAAUGAUUAGUUAUAGCAUAGCUUUAAAAUCUCUAAGACUCUUUAGGGAAGUUAACUGAUAGCGUACUAUUGAGCUGUCUCACUGAUUACUAUACGGGCCUAGGUCAUCCAUCAAGAGCCGCCUCCUGGCCCUGGUGAUGAUGAGAAGUCCCGAUAUAUGAUUAUCAAUUAUAAUAAAAUUCACCUCGAUUGAAUAUCCCGAAUGUUAUCUCGAUAUAUUUUUCUUUUUCUCGAUGUGUUUUUUUUUUCUCGAUGUGAAUGUGCUUUCUUGUGUGUACUUGAGAUUGAUCUCGAUAUAAUGUAUCUUAUUGUGAAUGCUUAGGACUAACCAUGGGUUAUGGUUAUUUGUUCAGAUAUCGAACUGUUGAAGGUUGACUUGGGUGGGAGUGCCCAUUCAAGUGCCGCACGAUCUAUUGCUUGUUGAGGGAAAUCUUAGUCCGUGAUACAUGGUAUUAGUGCACAGUUGAGAAGUGCUAAAAAAUGGAGGAGAUGACCACAAGUGGUGGACCCAAUUAUCAACAGAGAAUUGAGAAACUUGAGGUCACGGUGGCCAUAAUGAAAACUCACAUGGUGACUAAAGAUCGAGUGAGAGAGAUCAAGACAACCCAGCGGGAGUUAUUUGAUACUCUCCACAACAUGAGUGAUGAGGUUAGAGAUGCCUUGAAUAUUCUCCAAAAGGAGUUUGAGGAGCUCAGAGCACAGGUGAGCAUCUUACAAAUGGCUGUGACCAGAUCGGGUUCGAGCUCGACGAAAAAGGGGAAAAAGGCCCAAGGUGCCGGAGCCUCGAUGCAAUGAAGGGGCAAGGGAUGCUAAAGAGCUUGAAAAUUUCUUGUUUGACAUAGAACAGUACUUUCAAGCUGUACACAUAGAUUCAAAUGAAGACAAGGUAGUAAUGGCAUCGAUGUACCUCACAAGGGAUGCCAAGCUAUGGUGGCACUCUAAGUUUGUCAAUGACGAGUGCCCAAUUAAGACUUGGACAGACCUGAAACAAGAACUGAAAAAUCAAUUUUUCCCUGAGAAUGUGGAGUAUAUGGCUCGAAGGAGAUUUUGAGAAUUAGUGUAAAUAGGAACAGUGCGAGAGUUUAUAAGGAGCUUUUCUACCCUGAUGUUGGAUAUUCGAGACAUGUCCGAAAAGACAAGACAUUUUAUUUUCUUAAGGGCCUCAAGCCUUGGGCUAGGACAGAACUACAAAGAUAAAAGUGCAAGACGUGGUCACGGCCAUGGCUGUAGCUGAACGUCUCCAUGAUUAUAAUGAUGGCUCCUCAAAACGAAAAAAUCUUCCAUCAGCUGGUAGUAGCUUCAACUUUGGGAGUGAAAAAAAGAUGACUAGGUUGGACUGGCCCUUUAGUAAGGGAUCAAACAAGAGGUCCUUUGGUCGAGAUAGCAUCCAACCCAAGAUAAGCAACGUAAUGACUUUCAAGUCUAGGCAAUCGCUAGCUUGCUUUUUUUGUAAGGGGCCACAUCGGGCGAUCGAAUACCCACAAAGAGGAGCCCUUAAUGCCUUAAGAGCCUCGUCUUGAGAGUCCGUAAAAGUGCCAGAGAACGUUGAAGAAGUUGAAGAAGUUGAAGAGAAACCAAUCAGGAUGGGUUCAAUAAGGUUCCUCAAUGCUCUCCACACCCAACUGAACACAAUAAAAAAAGAGCAGGGUAGAGGCAUGAUGUAUGUGAACUUAAUGAUUAAUAAGAAGGCCACCAAGGCCAUGAUAGAUAUGAGUGCAAUCGAUACUUUCAUCACAUCAGAAGAAGUAAAAAGGUGUGGUCUCUAGGUUAACAAGGAUUGUGGACGAAUGAAAGCGAUCAAUUCGCCAGCCUUUACGAUCAGUAAAACCUCUAAGAGUGUGACAACUAAAUUGGGGCCAUGAAAAAGGAAGGUAGACUUUAUAAUUUCUCCAAUGGAUGACUUUAAUGUCAUCCUUGGAUUGGACUUCAUGAUGUUAGCUCAGGUGAUCCCUAUCCUCACCUCUAGCUACUUGUUGUUCUUAGGGGAACACCCAUGUGUGGUACUGGCCAAUAUCUUACCAAAGAAUGAUAAGAAAAUGAUUUCAGCUUUAUAGUUUAAGAAAGAGGUAAAGAGAGGGGAACCCUCUUUUGUGGCCAUGCCAAUAUACAAAAAAGGGUCAGAAGUGGAAUCGAUACCUGAUGGCAUGAAAAAAAUGUUGAAAAAAUUUGAAGAGGUGAUGCCAGAGAUGUUGCCUAAGGUUCUACCCCCUCAACGAGCAGUGGACCAUAAAAUUGAGCUCCUCCCAAGAGCAAAACCCCUUGCUAGAGCCCUUUACCACAUAGCCCUGUGAGAGUUGGUCAAACUAAAGAAACAGUUAGAUGAGCUUCUAUAAAUUGGGUUCAUUAGACCAUCAAAGGCUCUUUUCGGAGCGUUAGUGCUAUUUCAGAAGAAGCAUGAUGGAAGUUUAUGAUUAUGUAUUGACUACAAGGCCUUGAACAAAGUCACUGUGAGGAACAAAUAUUUCAUCCCUCUUAUAACAUAUUUGUUUGAUCAAUUGAGUCGGGCUAAGUACUUUUCCAAAUUGGACUUGAGAUCUAGCUACCAUCAGGUUAGAAUCGUAGAGGGAGAUGAGCCAAAGACCACUUGUGUAACAUGAUAUGGUGUAUUUGAAUUUCUUGUUAUACCUUUUGGACUGGCCAAUGUUCCUGUCAUAUUUUAUACAUUGAUGAAUCAGGUGUUCCAUGACUACCUAGAUAAAUUUGUAGUCAUCUAUUUAGAUGACAUAGUGGUAUAUAGCUCCACUCUAGAAGAACAUCAAGAACACUUGCACCAGGUGCUUCGAAGGUUACAAGACCAUCAGUUAUACAUGAAAAUAGAGAAGUGUGCAUUUGCUCAGACCCAAAUCUAUUUUUUCGAUCAUAUUGUCGAACAUGGCCACAUUCGAAUGGACAUGAAAAAAGUUAGAGCCAUCAAAGAGUAGACAACAUCGAAGAAUGUUAAUGAACUUUGCUCAUUUUUUAGACUAGCCAACUAUUAUAGAAAGUUUAUGGAAAGGUACUCUCGCAAGACCACGCCCCUUACAGAGCUAUUGAAGAAGGAGCAUAAAUGGUGUUAGACGAGUGAAUGCCAAGAAACUUUUGAAGGAUUGAAGAAUGCUAUUAUGAAGGAUCCCAUCUUAGCUCUCUCUGAUAUUGAAAAACCUUUCAAAGUUCAGACGGAUGUAUUUGAUUUCGCUAUUAGAGGAAUACUUUUACAACAACAUCACCCGAUAGCAUUUGAAAGUAAAAAGCUAAGCGAAGCUGAGAGAAAAUAUACGGCCCAGGAAAAAGAGCUCCUGGCGGUAGUUCACUGCUUGAGGGUUUGGCGACAUUAUUUGUUGGGUUCACACUUUAUCGUGAAGACAGACAAUACGAUCAUUAGCCAUUUUCUCACCCAACUAAGGCUUGUAGCAAAACAAGCUAGAUGGUAAGAAUUUUUAAUAGAGUUUGACUUUUAUUUUAAGCACACCGCUAGAAAGACCAAUCAAGUGGCCGAUGCAUUGAGCAGGUGAACAGAGUUAAAGGCCUUUAGAAAAAUUACCCUAAUGACGACUAGCAGAGCCAUGAUAGACGUUCGUAAGUUGAUUGGAGAUCAUUUAGGGAAGGACCCACAGGGUAGUGCCAUCCUGAAGCUAGUGGAAGAGGGGAAGUUCAAGUACUUCUGGUAAGAAAAUGGGGUCUUAUGGACCAAGACCCUCAAUUGUUUAUGCCAAGAGCAGGAGGUCUGAGAUAUAUGCUGAUGAGGGAAUGUCACGACACACCAUGGGUCGAACAUCCGGGCUGGCAACACACUUUGACGUUAUUGAAAUAGGGAUACUAUUAGCCUCACAUGCGAUAAGAUGUGAUGGACUAUACAAAGACUUACCUUAUUUACCAACAAGAUAAAGUUGAAAAGAGAAAACCUGCAGGCAUACUUGAACCACUAUCGAUACCUGUCAGACUGUGGGAAAGCAUCUCUUUCGAUUUCAUUUCGAGCCUACCCAAGGUUGGUGAUCUUGGAGCUAUUUUGGUAGUGAUUGAUCAGUUCUCUAAGUACGUCACAUUCAUUAUCGUUCAUAAAUAUUAUACAGUGAAAAACACAGCUCGACUAUUAUUCAAACAUGUGGUCAAAUACUGGGACCUCCCUAAAAACAUUAUCAGCGAUAAAGACUCAAGAUUCACGGGGUCUUUUUGGAGAGAACUUUUCAAGAUAUUAGGUUGUAACUCAACAUCUCCUCAAGUUACUACCAUUGAACCGACGAUCAAACGAAACGGUUCAAUGGAUUACUAGAGGAAUACUUAAGGCACUUUGUUCAAGCUAAUCAAAAGAACUGGCCUUCGUUAUUAGACGUUGCUCAACUCUGCUUUAAUUCCAACAAAAGCUCUUCCACCAAUAAGAGCCCAUUUGAAGUGGUCACUGAAUAAUUACCAAGGCUAUCUCACACUUUUUUGGAACAAUAUGGAAAGAAGAAUCCAAAAGCCUUCAACCUCGAUAAGGAAUGGAAACAAAACACGGAGAUUGCACAAGCUUACUUGGAGAAAGUAUCAAAGUGAAUGAAAAAAUGGGCAGAUAAAGGUUGCAUGGCUCAACAAUUCCAAGUUAGUGAUUUGGUUCUUGUUCGACUAGUCUCUGAAUAAAUCGGGUUCUUGAGAAAGAGAGAUCGUAGAUUGGUGUGUAAAUAUGAGGGUCUAAUGAAGAUUUUUUCCAAGAUGGGGAAUACUUCUUACAAAAUCAAUCCACCAAAAUGGAUGAAGGUGCACCCAGUAUUUCAUGUGAGCAACCUGAAACCUUUCCAUAUAGAUCCUACAGAUGCUAGCUGAAAGGAGCCAACUAGAGCCACCAUCACCAUGAAACCACCCUCAAAGCGUCGAGUCGAAGAGAUUUUAGCCGACAGGGAAACUAAGAUAUCUCGAAGACUAGUUCGAGAAUACUUAGUAAAAUGAGAGGGAUUAGGACUAAAAGAAACCAGUUGGAAAAGAGAACACAACCUUCAGAGAUUCGAAAGAAAGAUUGAAGAAUUUCAAGCCAGAAGUCGAUGAGAACAUUGAUAGAAUAGGUGGGGGAGGAUGUCAUGAGCCAACUUUGUAUAGGACCAUGACCGGGGCUUAGGUUGUCAUGAGCCACCCAUGUAUAGGGCCAUGAUUGGGUAGAUCUUUUGUGCUAGAAAAAAUGUCCCAAUUUCAAAUAUUGUAAUGAUUAGUGGUAGCAUAGCUCUAAAAUCUCUAAAGUUCUUUAGGGGAGUGAGCUGACAGUGUAUUGUUGGGCUGUCUCACCGGUUACUAUAUGGGCCUAGGCCAUCCACCAAAGGCUGUCCCCUGGCCCUAGUGAUGGUGGAAGGUCUCGAUGUAUGAUUAUCGAUUAUAAUAAAAUUCACCCGAUUGAAUGUCUUAAAUGUUAUUUCGAUGUGUUUUUCUUUUUUUCGAUGUGAAUGUGCCUUCUUGUGUGUGCUUGAGAUUGAUCUCGAUAUAAUGUGUCUUAUUAUGAAUGCUUGGGAUUAAUCAUGGCUUAUGGUUAUUUGUUCAGAUAUCGAACUAUUGAUGGCUGACUUAGGUGGGAGUGUCCAUUUAAGUGCCGUACGAUCUAUUAUUUAUUGAGAGAAAGCUUAGUCUGUGACACUGUCCUUCUGUCUCUGAUCCCCAAUAUGAGUGAGACCAAGAUGGCUGACUGGAGUGCCACAAAGAAGCUGGUCAUGUCAUGGCUUCUCAAUGCAAUUGAGCCUACAAUUGCUACCAGUCUUAUGUUUAUGGCAUCGGCAAAACAGGUAUGGUCCUUUAUCUCCAUGAUCUUUAUUCCAUAGGAAAUGAAGCUAAGAUAUUCCAGCUUGAAUAAUCAGUCCCAAAUCUUAGUCAGGGGGAUAUGACUGUUGCUGAGUACUAUACUCAACUUAAGACCAUAUGGUCAGAGAUCUUCAACUAUCAACCAGUUAUUUCCUGCACUUGUGAUUGUUCCAAUGCCCAAGGAAAAGAAAACAGAGGUUAUGCAAAAGUGAACUUCCCCUUUUUUUUUCACGUAGAGCAGGUUUUCCCUCAAUGUAGAGGCCUUAGUUGUUCCCUAGGUACUCCCCAGAUCGCGAGUACUGAUAGAUAUUGGGUCUAUCCAUCGGCCUUCUCUAAUAGGGCACUCAACCAUCCCAUGGUCAAGUGCGCAAGAAAAAAACUAAAGCAAGAACCAGACCGAUCCACCAAUCAAAUCAGUGAAAAACGCUCUCCAUUUUCACUUGGCUUGAAGGCUUACACAAACCAAAGAAGUGAAAAAAGAAAUUUCGACAGGACUGAAAGCACCAAGUCAGAAAGAAACGAGCAAGUGUCGUGUGCAAGUGUGGCUUUCAAGCUUGUCUCCCUGUUGCCUUAAGCCUGGAGACCGGGGGUGCUUAGGACCAGAGGUGCUUGCAGACCGGAGGUCGCGGCAGCUUGCUUGCUAAGGUACGAACUAGUGCUGGUAAAUGAACGAACCUGUGAAUUCAAGCGGCAGAACUUUGGACUUACAACAUAGGGGCUCCCUGACGAUCCCGAACCUUCCAACCAAAAGUGAUGGGUAUGUGUUGUUUCUUGGCACUCUCUUUCUUUGUUAUGCCAACCUAAAAAGAGAUAGGGAUACGGAGCUUGACUUGAAAACAAACAAUUGGCACUGCCCCCCUAUCACAACAAGGCAGAUAGGGCACUUUUUGCCUUCAAAAAAAAAGUCCAGGAUACGAAAACAAUUCCUCUCAAAAAAAUAAAAAGAGCGAUUGAGAGUGGAUUUUAGGUUCUAUAGUGUCGAGAAGGUAUUCGCCACCGGUGACCGUACUUUCGUAAAAGCAUCAUUGGGCGGUGGUUCCUCUCUUUUCUCUUGAACCUCGAACAAAAAAUAGAUCUCGCCAUCAGCUCGACUAAGAGUUCCAAAUCGAAAAAGUAAACUGAACUUGACUUAAGACGAAGGAACCGAGCGCCGAAAAAAAUCGCUUUAAAAAGGCUUCAAACUACUAGUCAUUAAGACUACUAUGAAAUAAAAGUAAGGAAGUCCUUUUCUUGACUUGGCCUGCGUGCAUUAUACCUACCCCCUUUUUCAAAUAACUUUCUUUCAAUCUCAACAAAGAAAUGAAAGCAUAACUCUUUGCUUGUUGUCCUCUUACUCUUUUAGCCUGCCUUGUGGGGGUUUCUCGGGUGUCUACGGCGGAUCCGAUCAGUCUCGUGAUGAAGAGAAGUCUUUUCCAAUCUUCCACGUUGAAAGGUAUCGUCACGACAACUAAAUUUGCCCGGUAAACUACUCGGGACUCCCCAUGGUUUAGUAAAAGGGAGGGGAGAUUUUCUCUUCAUCCGGGGGUUCAUUUCAUUCAUUAUGAACUCAAAAGUUGUUGGCUGAUUAGUGAGGUCUUAAAAACUUCAUACAAUAAAUGAUCAGCCAUUCCAUUUGUGCUUUCAGCAAGUAGGCGACGCGAAUCUAUGGUUUCUAUGUUUCAAUCGGAUACCAAUUGCUUGGAUGCGUUUGAAAGCCUCGAGAUUACUUGCAGAAAAAAUUCUUUCUAGGUUUGUCUUGUGUCUCCGUAACAAAUGGUCCAUUUAUUGAUGGGCGAACGACGGGGAUUGAACCCGCGCGUGGUGGAUUCACAAUCCACUGCCUUGAUCCACUUGGCUACAUCCGCCCCUACCCCCACACAGGUUUCAGUCUCUAUCUACGAUCAGAUCCUUUCUGAACCCCCCCUAUGACCGCUAUCAAAGAGAAGCUUUUUCCUAUACGCAAGUCUAUUGUUGUGUUUUGGGAAGAAAAGCUUCAACAAGUAGAAGCUUCCUGGAAAAGCUUCAAACAAAGAGGUUGGGCUGUUCACUUCAUUGAUUUGACUUCACUUUACUUAAGAUUAAAGAUAGGGGCCGGGCGGGCAGUGAAGGCUCGUUUAGUAGACAGCCAGCUACGGCUUUGACGAGCAGCAAGCGGAGCUUGAAGAAGCGAGCCCCUAUCAGAGAAAGCCAUUGCGCGCUAGCCCCUUGUUUGUAUAGGAUUCCAAACCUGCGCACCCUUAAACUACAAGCUUUGAAGCCCCUACUUUCUUUAUGGGAUAUUUUAAGAAGCCCCUUUCUACAAACCUUUCCAUAAUAGUUGGGAAGCUCGAAGAGCUUUCUUCGCAUGCUUGAGCGCAUCUUUUCCCUUUCUAUUAGUAAGGUUGUCAAAAGGCUUUCCUUGAGUUCCUUUAUGACUAAACGUUUAGAAUAGGGGUAGGGGGGCGCUAACGAGCAAGAAAAGGCCCCAACCUAUAGAUAGGCUAACGCGCCUUUACUAAUAUUAGAAUAGUUGGCGCUUCUUUCUCAAAGUCAAGUUUCUCGCUUGUUGCUUUAGAAAGAUUGCGGGGGCGCUAACGCGACCUUCCUUCAGCUGGCUCCGCCCUAUCUAUUCAUCUCUUUUUUCAAAUGGAUAUUUGGGGAUCUCUCUUGUUUAUAGAUCUUGAAACCAGAUCAAUAUCCAUUUUUCAAUAGUUCUUUCUAUCGAUAAAUAGAAAGAUAUAGAUCUCUAUCUGGAUCUAUCUCCAUAUCUAAAUAUGGAAGAACCAACCCAACAAGGGCGUAACCAACGGAAGGUUCUCGCCCUGUCCCCGACAUUGUUCUCCGACGAUGGCCCCUGGGCGAAAGGGGCCACCAUUCUCUUUCUUUCUUCAAUCGUUCCGAUCAGGACAAGUGGGUUGGUUCGUUUCGUCCUCCUAUCUACGCAAUUCUCUGUCUUCGUUCGUGAUCAUGUUAGGCGAAAGGUAGUUGUAGAGGAGCGGCUGUGAAACGGCGAUUCCCCCCUUUCCAUUGAAGUAGGGGGGGCCUCCUUCCCCACCAUUCCGGCCUAUUAUUGAUAGGGAUUUGACCGAUGCUGAAGGUAGCUUGCUUACCAAGCCACCCACUUGAGAAGCUAGUCGCCAGAAAGAAGCGACGAGGAAGCGAAGCUGUCGUAGAAGCUUUGCCCCCCCUGUAGUCGUAGUACUCGGCUCGUCGCUACUUUGAUUCAAAAGGUAACCGACGGUUCCCGACUUUCUCCGGUUUCCGCAACCGUAACCAUUUGUCACUCCAAUUACUUCAUCCAAAAACCUUUUUUUAGAGCUAUAAAAAAAGUCAAGGAUAAGCUUGCAUUCUAGAAGCGGUAGCUUCCCGCCUCCUUCAUUCCUACUGCCUCCUUCGGCCCUUCCCUUUUCUAAACCUGCCUCAGAAAAUGUACAAAGUGGACCGCUGUUUGGCUGACCCUCUUAUUCCCAUUCGGGUUGGGUUGACCCAAAAGUCAAGUAAGAAGGAAUGGAACCACUGGAGAGUCGUCUGCAGUUCACACUUGGGCAAAGACAACUUACUUUGAAAGCGGAACACGAACCGAUUGGAGCUAUUCCGGGUUCUUAUUUUUCGUAGCGAAAUCAAGGUUUAUGAGAAAGUAAGCGAAGUUUCUAUGGUGUUCUACCUUUGCGUAGUCCCGGUCCACAGUUCCAGGCUCCGUCCCUUAGCCUAGUCUAUAUCUACAGCUGACGCAACUCCGUACCGACGCCUUACUACUACAACAUUAAUUAACGGCUAAGCGAUUUCAUAACCUGAGCUUUCCUUAACCAGCUGACCUUACGAAGUAAGCUUAGCCUCCCUUUCUUUAUAGUUCGACUAAGUGACUUCGUAACCUUAACGUACUUUCUUUCUUACUUUAGCAUAGGCCUUCGCCACUUCAAACGGGCGCUUCGCCCCUAUUUUCUUUUUUUUUUUUUUUUAGGGCCUUACUUAUUCUGUUCAGGGGGGAUGAAAGACAAAGAAAGGGAUCAGGGGGCUUUAUGAUCGGAGAAAGGGAAGGGGCGUGGUUGGUGUGUUACUGGGUCGGUGGGGAACCCAUAGGAAGGGGGGACGACCCGCCGAAUUCACAUCAGAAAUCGCCAACAUGAACACAAACGAAAUCUUGAAUUGCGUAUAGAAACAAAACGAACCACUUCUAUUGUCGGAGCUGAGGUAUAUGAAGAAUGGCUUUUUGGUCCCUUUCGUCCAGUGGUUAGGACAUCGUCUUUUCAUGUCGAAGACACGGGUUCGAUUCCCGUAAGGGAUAGGUACUCAUUCCCGGCCGCUUUCAGUUAGUGUUCAUUGCUGAGUGAUCGCUCGCUAUCUGGCUGGAAAAGGUGGUCCGGAAGCUUCCUUUCUCCCAGCAAGCAAGACGAGAUCACCACUUCUCUCAGUAAUGGACUUCCUUUCAUUCUUUCUUAGUCUUAGAUGUCCUUUCAUAGAUUCUCGAACCUCCGAGAGACAGAAUCUCCAUGCAUGCGUUCUUUCUCUCCUCCCCUCCCUAAUACCUAAUACAUAGUUCCGUCUAUGGAGCCUAAAGCAACAACCAUGGCAUGGCAGUAAGAAGUAAGUUGGCCUAGUCUCUCGCCCAGCUUUCGCCUUCUUCAGUGGCCAAGUUGAAGCGUUCAACGGUUCUUCGGCCUACCGCCUUUCUUUUUUUUUCAAGGUUGAGCUUGUUCAAUUGAAGCUAAUGCUAUGCUGCCCUUCCCUUGUUCAAGAGAAAGCGAGGACUUUCUUUUCUUUUUUUUUAGUUACCGACCUAAACAAAAGAGAUUAGCCUCUUGAUCGAUCGAUUGAUUGGAUCGAAGUACGAAGUACGAAGUACGAAGGGGUUGAUUGAAGUAUGAGAUCAGCCCAAGACUAAGGCCGAGCAACUAGCUGCUGCAAGAUUGGACGUCUAUCUAUCUCACCACGCCCCCUACUCCUAUAAGGGCCGGUGGAAGGAAUGCUCUGCUCAUCUUUUCUUACGGCUCGUUACCGCAGCGCUCGUUCGCCCCUUCGGCUUUUUCAAUUCAAAAAGGCCUGGUAAAUAGCGUCUUGAAGCAAAGGCAUUAUUGAACGAAAGAGAUGCCGGGUCGGUCAAUUGCAUUAGGUAGGAGAUGCAGGACCUGUCUUAACCGCAAGUGCAUUCGCUAUUCGAUUCCAUCCUCGAUCCCACAAAAUUUGGAUUCCUUUGUAUCUCUUCUUUACUUUUAAGUGACAAGGGGGGUGACAAACGGUAUACUUUCUUCUCUAUGUCGCCGUCUCAUCAAUGAGCGUAGAUUGAUAGAGAUGGCUUUUGUGCUGGUCAAUCUGUAUCCCAUUCUUCAGGUAGAGUUUUGUUUGAUCAUAGAUCGGCAGGUGACCCGUCCUUUCUCCCCCUUUCGUCAUAAGGCGUGGUCUGACUCUGAGAAAAACCAUUCCUGUGUUUAGGUCCCUACUAAGCAGAAUUCGUAAACUAUGCAAGGGCUAUUUGUUGACUUUUUUAAGAAUUUUGAACAAGAAAAGCAAAAACAAUUCUCAACGCCCUUACGAGGUAGUGAUGAGUUAAACUACUCGUGUUGGCAUGGAAGUCAGCCCGGUAAACUGAUUCCAUUCUGCUACUAGGGUUCCAAACCUUCCCCUUAGCUCUAGAAAGACGUUUCCUUAUCAAGAGAUGCUAAAGCUAUUUAUAGUUGUUUAAGUCGGAAGGAGGGCUUUGGGCAAAGAGCAACUGGAAAGUACUUGACUUCAGUCCCAGUACUGAAAGACGUGACUUCAGGAGUUUCUUUCGGAAGGAAAGACUUCGUUUACUUCCUGCAAAUUUUUUUUGUAAGAACUAGUAGAAAGAAAGGAAUUAGGAAAAAAAAUGGGUAGGCCUUCUGAGCAGUCAUUUAGGGGCCUUGUUAGCGACCCUUCAUUCUUCCCUAAGCUGUCAGAGUCCGAUCGAAGCGAGCAAGAGAAAGAGGAAUCAUCGCUCAUAGAUGUGAAUUGAGCCGAAUUCUUUUUAAUUAGGCUUUCUAGUAUGGUCCCUGUCCCGGGUAAGGUCUGAUUGUUAUCCGCAAGUGUUGUUUAGUUUUGACCGCGGGAAGAUGAACUUUCCAAAAAUGCUUAUUUGGUUGGGAAAGAGAGGACUUCUGACUCCGAGCCUACCCUACCCAAAAACAAGUUUCAGCUAUUGAUGUAGCCUCUUGUCGCUACUUACUAGAGGAAUCCCUUCUAUACCACUUAACAAAAGCAAAAAUCCCAUCAAGAUAGAUUGAAUCGACGACCUAUACUUCAACUAAAGGCACAAGGGAAGAAAGAGUUCAAGAGCACAGAACAGAGGAAAUGCACAUGGGUCUCCUUGAAUAACGAAGUCUAAGAUAAAGAAAGAAAGGUAGAGUGGGCUUCUAGUUGCUCUGCUUGGAUUGGCAUGGCUGUCCCCCUUUGCUGGUUGAGGCUUGGUGUCACGGAUUAAAUUUUCUCUCAACAAGUAAUAGAUCGUGCGGUACUUGAAUGGACGCUCUCAAUCAAGUUAGCCUUCAAUAGAUCGAUAUUUGAACAAAUAAUCAUAAGUCAUGGUUAGUCACAAGCAUUCACAAUAAGGCACAACAUAUCGAGAUCAAUCUCAAGCACACACACAAAAAGACAUAUUCGCAUCGAGAAAAAGAAAAACACAUCGAGACAACAAUCAGGACAUUCAAUCGGGAUGAGUUUUAUUAUAAACGAGAAUCAUAUAUCGAGACCUCCCACCAUCACUAGGGCCAGGGGAGCAACCUUUGGUGGGUGGCCUAAGCUCGUAUAGCAACCGGUGAGACAGCCCAACACUACGCUACCGGCUCACCCCCCUAAAGAGCCUUAGAGAUUUUAGAGCUAUGCUACCAGUAAUCAUUUAAUAUUUGAAAUGGAGACACUUUUCCUAGCACAAGGGAUCUACCCGGCCAUGACCCUAUACAUGGGUGGCUCAUGACAACCUAAGUCCUGGUCAUGGCCCUAUACAAGGUUGGCUCAUGACAUCCUCCCUCCACCUAUUCUAUCGACGUCCUCGUUGACUUGCUAACUUGAAAUUUUUCAAUCUUCCUUUGAAAUCUCUAGAGGUCGUGCUCUCUCUCCCAGUUGGUUUCUUCUAGUCCUAAUCCAUCUCACUUCACUAAGUACUCCCGAACUAGUCUUCGAGAUAUCUUGAUUUCCCUGUCAGCCAAGAUCUCUUCGACUUGACGCUCUGAGGGUGGCUUCAUGGUGAUGGCAGCUCUGGUUGGCUCUCUUCGGCUAGCAUCUGUAGGAUCUGCAUGCAAAGAUUUUCAGAUUGCUCACAUGAAAUACUGGGUGCACCUUCAUCCACUGUGGUGGGUCAAUUUUGUAAAAGCAUUCCCCACCUUGGAAAGGACCCUUACUGGACCUUCAUAUUUGCGCACCAGUCUAUGAUCUCUUUUUCUCAAGAACCUGAUUUGUUCAGGAACUAGUCGGACAAGAACCAAAUCACCAGCUUGAAAUUGUUGAGCUCUACGACCCUUAUCUACCCAUUUUUUCAUCUGCUUUGAUGCUUUCUCCAGGUAGGCUUAUGUAAUCUCUGUGUUUUGUUUCCACUCUUUGCUAAGAUUGAAGGCUCUCGGAUUCUUUCCUCCAUAUUACUCCAAGAAAGUGUGGGGUAGCCUUGGUAGUUGUCCGGUGACCACCUCAAAUGGGCUCUUGUUGGUGGAAGAGCUUUUGUUGGAAUUAAAGCAGAGUUGAGCCACGUCCAAUAAUGAAGGCCAGUUUUUCUGAUUAGCUUGAACAAAAUGCCUCAAGUAUUCCUCUAAUAAUUCGUUGAACCGUUCCGUUUGACCAUCGGUUUGAAGGUGAUAGCUUGAGGAGAUGUUGAGUUGGGACCCCAAUAUUUUGAAAAGUUCUCUCUAAAAGGACCCCGUAAAUCUCGGAUCUCGAUCACUGACAAUGUUUUGAGGGAGGCCCCAGUAUUUGAUCACAUGUUUGAAUAAUAGUCGAGCUGUGUCUUCUACAGUGCAAUACUUGUGAGCGGGAAUGAAUGUGACAUACUUAGAGAAUCGAUCAAUUACCACCAAAAUCGCUCCAAGGUCACCAACCUUGGGUAGGCUCGAAAUGAAAUCGAGGGAGAUGCUUUCUCACGGUCUGGUGGGUACUGGUAGUGGUUCAAGCAUACCUGCAGGUUUCUUUCUUUCAACCUUAUCUUGUUGACAAAGAGGCAAGUCUUCGUAUAGUCCAUCACAUCUUGUCGCAUGUGAGGCUAAUAGUAUCCCUGUUUCAAUAACGCCAAAGUGCAUUGCCAACCCGGGUGUCCCGCCCAUGGUGUAUCAUGACAUUCUCUCAUUAGCAUCUGUCUCAGAUCUUCUGCUCUUGGCAUAAACACUCGAGGCCCCUUGGUCCAUAGGAUCUCAUUUUCUUGCUAGAAGUACUUGGACUUCCCUUCUUUCACUAGCUUCAGGAUGGCACAAGCUUGCAGGUCUUUCCUUAAGUGAUCUCCAAUCAAUUUGUGAAUGUCUGUAGUGGCUCUACUAGCCACCAUUGGGGUAAUUCUUCUAAGGGCCGCUAGAUCUAUUCGCCUAUUCAAUGCAUCGGCCACUUGAUUGGUCUUUCCAGCGGUGUGCUCAAAACAAAAGUUGAAUUUCGUUAAAAAUUCCUGUCACCUAGCUUGUUUUGUCGUAAGCCUUGGUUGGGUGAGAAAAUGGCUAACGACCGUAUUGUCUGUCUUCACGACAAAUUGUGAACCCAACAAGUAAUGUCGCCAAGCCCUCAAGCAGUGAACCACCGCGAGGAAUUCUUUUUCCUAGGUCGUAUAUUUCCUUUCAGCUUCACUUAGUUUCCUACUUUCAAAUGCUACCGGGUGAUGUUGUUACAAAAGCACUCCUCCAACAACAAAAUCGAAUGCAUCCGUCUGAACUUCGAAGGGCUCUUCAAUAUCAAGGAGAGCUAAAAUGGGAUCCUUCAUAAUAGCAUCCUUCAAUCCCUCGAAUGCCUCUUGGCACUUACUCGUCCAACACCAUUUACGCUCCUUCUUCAAUAGCUCUGUGAGGACUAUGGUCUUGCGAGAGUACCCUUCCACAAACCUUCUAUAGUAGUUGGCUAGUCCCAAAAAUGAACGGAGCUCACUAACAUUCUUCGGUGUUGUCCACUCCUUGAUGGCCCUGACCUUUUCCAUGUCCAUUCGAAUGUGGUUACGUUCGACAAUGUGAUCGAGAAAAUGGAUUUGGGUCUGAGUAAAAGUACACUUCUCCCUUUUUACGUAUAAUUGGUGGUCAUGUAAUCUUUGAAGUACUUGGUGCAGGUGCUCUUGAUGUUCUUCCAAGAUGGAGCUAUAUACCACUAUAUCGUCUAAAUAGAUGACUAUAAAUUUGUCUAGGUAGUCAUGGAACACCUGAUUCAUCAAUGUACAAAAUGUGGCAGGAACAUUGGUCAGUCCAAAAGGCAUAACAAGAAAUUCAAAUGCACCAUACCAUGUCACACAAGUGGUCUUUGGCUCAUCUCCCUCAACGAUUCGGACCUGAUGGUAGCCAGAUCUCAGGUCCAAUUUGGAGAAAUACUUGGCCCGGCUCAAUUGAUCAAACAAGUCUACUAUAAGGGGAAUGGGAUAUUUAUUUCUUACGGUGACUUUGUUCAGGGCCCUGUAGUCAACACAUAAUCAUAAACUUCCAUCGUGCUUCUUCUGAAAUAGCACUAGCGCUCCGAAAGAAGCCUUUGAUGGUCUGAUAAACUCGACUUGUAGCAGUACAUCUAACUGCUUUCUUAGUUCGACCAACUCUGACGGGACCAUGCGGUAGGGCACUCUAGCAGGGGGUUUCACUCUUGGGAGGAGCUCGAUUUCAUGGUCCACUGCUCGUCGAGGAGGUAAAACUUUAGGCAACAUCUCUAGCAUCACCUCUUCGAAUUCUUCCAACACUUUUUCCACACCAUCAGGUAUUGGUUCUACUUUCGACCCUUCUUUGUAAAUUGGCACCGCCACAAAAGAAGGUUCCCCUCUCUUUAUCCCUUUCUUGAACUGCAAAGCUGAAAUCAUUUUCUUCCCACUCUUUGGUAAGAUGUUGGCUGGCACCACAUAUGGGUGUUCUCCUAAGAACAACAAGCAACUAGCGGCGGGGAUAGGGAUGACCUGAGCCAACAUCAUGAAGUCCAAUCCGAGGACAACAUCAAAGUCAUCCAUGAGGGAAACUGUAAAAUCUACCUUCCCCACCCAUGGCCUUAAUCGGGUUGUCACACUUUUGGAGCUUCCACUGAUCGUAAAGGCUGGUAAAUUGACCGCCUUCAUUCGUCCACAGUCUUUAUUAAUCUGAAGACCACACCUUUUUACUUCUUCUGGUGUAAUGAAAGUGUCGGUUGCACCCGUAUCCACCAUGGCCUUGGUGGCUUUCUCAUUGAUCGUCAAGUUCACAUACAUCAAGUCUCUACUCUACUCUUUCUUUAUAGUGUUCAAUUGGGUGCGGAGGGCAUUGAGGAAACUUAUUGAACCCAUCCUGGCUGGCUUCUCUUCAGCUUUUUCAACGCUCUCUAGCACUUUUACGAACUCUUCAGACGAGGUCCUUAAGGUAUUAAGGGCUCCCCUGUGCGGGCAUUCAGCCAUCCGAUGCGGCCCCUUGCAAAGAAAGCAAGCUAACGGUUACCUAGGCUUGAAAAUCCCUGGGUUGCUUGUCUUGGGUUGGGUGCUAUCUCGACCAAAAGACCUCUUGUCUGAUCCUCCACUAAAGGGUUUGUCCAACCUGGUCAUCUUUCCCCCACUCUCAAAGUUAAAGCUACUGCCAGUUGAUGGAGGAUUUUUCUGUUUUAAGGAGCCAUCAUUGUAAUUGUGAAGACGUUCAGCUGCAGCCAUGGCCGUGGCCACAUCUUGCACUUUCUAUCUUUCUAGUUCUGUCCUCGCCCAAGGCUUGAGGCUCUCAAGAAAAUAGAACAUCUUGUCCUUUUCGAACAUGUCCCGAAUAUCUAACAUCAGGGUAGAAAAGCUUUUCACAAAUUCUCGCACCGUUCCGAUUUGCACCAACUCUCGAAGUCUCCUUCGAGCCAUAUACUCCACAUUCUCAGGGAAAAAUUGGUUUUUUAAUUCUCGCUUCAGAUCCGUCCAAGUUUUAAUCGGGCACUCGUCAUCGACAAACUUGAAGCGCCACCACAGCUUGGCAUCUCCUACGAGGUACAUCGACGCCAUUGUCACCUUGUCUUCCUCUGAAUUUGUGUGUACAGCUCGAAAGUAUUGCUCCAUGUCAAACAAGAAAUUUUCAAGUUCCCUAGCAUCCCUUGCCCCCUCAUAGCAUCAAGGCUCCGGUACCUUGGGCCUUUGUCUCCUUUCCAUCGAGUUCGAACCCGAUCUGGCCACAGCCAUUUGUAGGAUGCUCAUCUGUGCUCUGAGCUCCUCAAACUCCUUUUGGAGAAUGUUCAAGGCAUCUCUAGCCUUUUCGCUCACAUUGUGGAGAGUAUCGGACAACUCCCGUUGGGUUGUCUCGAUCUCCCUCACUCGGUCUUUCGUCACCAUAUGAGUUUUCAUUGCGACCACCGCGGCCUCAAGUUCCUCAAUUCUCUGUUGAUGAUCCGGUCGACCACUUAUGGCCAUUUCAUCUAUUUUUCUAGCACUUCUCAACCGUGCUCUGAUUCCACGUGUCACGGACUAACAUUUCUCUCAACAAGUAAUAGACCGUGCGGCACUUGAAUGGGCGCUCCCAACCAAGUUAGCUUUCAAUAGAUCUAUAUCUGAACAAAUAACCAUAAGCCAUGGUUAGUCACAAGCAUUCACAAUAAGGCACAACAUAUCGAGAUCAAUCUUAAGCACACACACAAGAAGGCAUAUUCGCAUCGAGAAAAAGAAAAACAGAUCGAGGCAACAAUCGGGACAUUCAAUUGGAUAAGUUUAUUAUAAACGGAAUCAUACAUCGGACCUCCCACCAUCAUCAGGGCCAGGGGGACAGCCCUUGGUGGGUGGCCUAAGCUCGCAUAGUAACCGGUGAGACAGCCCAACAUUAUGCUGUCGACUCACCCCUUAAAGAGCCUUAAAGAUUUUAGAGCUAUGCUACCAGUAACCGUUACAGUGUUUGAAAUGAGAACACUUUUCCUAGCACAAGGGAUCUACUCGACCAUGACCCUAUACAUAGGUGGAUCAUGGUAACUUAAGUCCUGAUCAUGACCCUAUACAAGAUUGGCUCAUGACACUUGACCUUUGACUCUGCUUGCCUCUACUUUUCAUGUCAAGCGUACAAGUGUUGUUUAGUGGGAUUUACCUUUCAAGACAGGAAUUGUUUUUCAUCUUAUCGGAAAAGACCCUGUAUAAGUCGACGUCUUAACCUGACUUCCUGAGCUCAGUUGAUUGUUGAAGCAGUAGCUCUGGAUCGAGAGCUGGAUGCUUACCUUAUUAUUAUUAAAAGGGGAAAGGCGUAGGCGUAGGCUAAAAGAAAGCAUCUUCCUCUGGGCGUGAAGCGCUAUGUUAGUCUUUCGUCUCCUACUUUAUUUGUUUCCCCCUUUACUGAAAAGGUCAAAUCGGUUCCCUCCUUACACAAACCAGAUAGAGUUGGUUUCGAGUGUCCAUCAUGUUGAUGGAUCCUUUCUUAACGAUUUUCUAGUUUAGAGAAAAUCUUUCAUUCUCGAUUCAAAUCAAUCCAGAUUCAGAGUCGGCCAUUUCUUCUGACACUUGAUCUGAACUUUCAUUAUGGUUACGGUGCUUUGCCUCCUCUCCAAGAGGACGGGGACUCGCAGGCAAACCCGUUAUUCAAGGGGAUGAAUCAGGUGCAGGGGUUAGCUUCGGAUUCGUAUAGGUGAUAUAAGAAAGAGCAUGUGGGGUUUUUUUACUUCCUUAAAGGAGAAGCCAAUGAAUUCUGUGAUUUGACUAUUCUCGGUAAAGUAGUUAAACAGCUAGUGGCGUGUAUCAAAGGUUAUCUUGUGCGUCUGUUUGUAGGAGAUUCAAAAGGCUUUGAUUGUGUAAUAAUUUUGUGCUUAUUAGGUCCCUGUUUUUUUUUUUUUUUUUGAUAAAUGAAAAUAGUGUCCAUUGAGACCAACUAGUUAUAGAGUGACCGUUUACACACCUUCUCGGGCCAGUGUAGUGGUCCCAUUAUGACAGUGAAACGAUCAAAAGAUGCCGAUUAGAAAGGCAGGGCCGAAGCUUUACUAAUAAGGACUAGUCUUGCUUCUCCAGCUCCACCAGAGCAUUUAAAAAGAGCGCUCGGGAAUAAAGCCUAAUCAAAGCGGGCAAAGAGAAAGAUCGUGUAACUUGACAGGUGCAGCCACGACGGCUUGUUCCUCAACCGCAGUAGUUCUUGUUCUUCUUCUUUCUCAGAGGUCGAUUCAGCAGCUUCAGUGACCUCCAUGCUUAGUCUUUGUAUUGCAGGUUCUAAUCCUGAAAUGGAUUCUUGUGGGCCAGUCUCGGGAGGGAUAGCUUCGCUCCUGGGUUCCAGGGAUGGCUCCAUCUCGGUUGUGGAUCUAAUCAGCUCCAUCAGACCGCCCGCCUCCACAGUGAAGCUUCCGGCCACUGCUUCCACAGCAGGACAGGAGUAGAAGUGAGCGCUUCAGGUGGAUAAGCUUCGACGCUCUCAACCUGGUUUGGAUCGUUUGACUAUGGCUCCGCGUUCUUUACAAUCAAAAGCUCGAUCACGAGGGUCCAAAUCAAGGUCUCCAUCUCGCCUUAUUAAAUAAGUUCGGGCAAAUCUACAUUUGAAGAAGUUAUAGGUAUAGGUCGGGAGAUGGGAUUGGAUCCGGAAUUAGAAUUGGCUUUGCAUCAUCUGGAACUAAAUAAGCUUCGGGUUUUUGAUUGAAAUUAGAAUCUGCAUAUGGAAUUCGAACCGGGCUACCCCAUGAUCGUGAUAUGAUAUCAUCAUUAGGUGGUGAGAAAGCACGCCUUAUGACGAAAAGGGAGCAUUACGUCCGAUCAAGACACCAGUCUGCCCGGUGCUGCGGAAGAAAUUAGGUACUGAACUGAGGUUUAGCAGUGCUUAUCACUUAGGAUAGCCAGACUCCAGUCAUCGGUUUACUGGAAGACUUUUUGAGGAGCUUAGUGCAAGGGAGACCGAGCAAGUGGGAAUAAGUUCUCCCAACUGCAAAGUUUGCCUAUAAAAAUGAUGUGAAUCGGCCUAUGUUAAGUAAGGGGGGAAGUAACCAUUCGAAGUGGUGUAUGGUAAGAGGAUUAACAAUAAGGGGAAAGCACAGCGAUCAAAGCUUUGGUUUAGGGCCUACUUGGUUUAAACGAAAGAAGAGAUCUUUCUAGUGAAUCAGUUCCUAGAGGGUUCCAAACUGAGCCUUCCAAUAUGAGAGCGAGACAAGCAAGCCUAACCCAUCCAAUGAAGGAAGUGACGUUUGCUACGAUCAAUAUCCGAACAACACCUUGACUUUAAAUCUAGAUGAUGGGAGGACCCCCUCUCCUGCGUGAUUUGAUCUCUUUCCCAUUUGUCGAGUCGAGCUAUCACCCCGAUUGGAAUAGAUAUACACAGCCCCUCUACCCCCUACUCUAGUCAGCUUUCUAUCUCUUUCUCCAACCUUCGAUGAUCCUCCAGCAGGCAAAUCAUAAAAGUCAAGAAGAAGUGAUGGGCCUGAUCUUCCGAUAUCGAUAUCUGAUAUCCAUAAGCUAGCUCUUGGUUAAGAAAAUCCUGCUAUAAAGAGGGAGUUGGCAGAGGUAGAAUCGGCAUCUGUCUCGCCUGCUGGAAAGCUUGACUUGGCUAUUGAAAUCAGCAGCAGAUGUUCUCAAAUCAACAACAUUAAGAAGAAUACGUUCUUGGAAGAAUUUCUACUAUAAGGGAGGAGUUCUCAUACCCAGUUAAAUGAUGUUGGAGUUUUCCCGCCUCAAGGGGAAUACUUUUUAUAAGCUCUUCUGUCUCUUGGCGACUCGGAACGAAUGCUUGAAUCCGCUUCUGUCGUUAGAACGAGAAUAGCUCAAGUGGAAUCUCUUUCUUUUUGGAGGGUUCCGGAAUUGAGAGAGUCAAGUCAUAUAUGGCAUUCAAAUCGCCAAAUCGUUAUCUUCUCUUUGUCUAGAGUAAGUUGGUGUGAAUUCAACGGAGGUAGAGGAUCCACAAUCAUUAGCUCUGGUUCACAGGCAAGUAGUGAGGGAAUUGAGUUUCACUCUUGAGAGAUAGCCAGAUAGUGUUGAGAGCUACCCGUAGCAGUCGUAAGGUAAGGCCUCCCAUCCCAAUAAGAGUUCAGUCGUAAGUCUGCCCAUUCAACCAUUUUUCUGGGAAUUUGAUACAAAAGGAAAAGGUAGUUGAUCGAUUCCGCCCUUUAGCUUGGCACGUUGAUGGAAUAAGUGCUCUUCUCUCUUUUUCUAUCCCCUCUUAUACAACUAUAGAAUACAGAAGAAUGACAUUCCCUUCCCCGAAAGCCUAGAAGUAAGCCAUAACUCAACACGAUGCAAGGAAUAGCUAUCGUUUCGUGCCCCAAUCCAAGCACGGGAUGAGACUGACCAACUGAUCCUAGUGGCUCUGGGUCAGGUCACGAACGGUAUUAGAUUGAUUUGAGCUCUAUCGUCCCAUCCUCUAACUAAACUAGUCCACCAGCGAAGGUAGGCAACUUACUAAGUAGAGUCUCUAAUGUUAGCAAGAUCCGCUACGCUAUUGAAAGGCUCUUAGUUGCUUAUCCGGGAUUAGAAAAAGGCGUAACUGCUCUUGUCUCUUCUUUCAAAGAAAUUCCUCCAGUUUACAGAGAUAUGAUCGUAAAAUAAGUGGAAUUACAAAUAAAACUGAUUCCACUCAAGCAAGAAUAGUUUCUCCUUCCCUUGCUUCUGUCUUCCUCUAGCAACCGAUUCUUUUAUUUUUAACUGACUGAACCAUCAGGAGGGUAUUCUCAAGCAGCUGAUUCGAUAGCAUUUGUCCGGAUUCACCAAGAGCUUUUUCUUUCGUUGAGCAGCAAUCCCCUUCCCUUCUUGAACAAGCCAUUCAAAGAGGGCAUGAGAUGACAUCUUAUUCUAUGUCAUUUGCUUUCCUUAGGACUUUUCUAGGCUAAACCUUGUCUUUCUCAUUGGCAUUGACCUACAACCUUCGACAGUUGUUAGUUGUGAUUCCGCUUUCAUGUCUUGGAUUGAGCUUUCACUCCAGCCCUUCUCCAUUCGAUCUAGUGGGAGUCUUAAAGGUUGCAUUCCUAAAGGCAUCUAAUCUUUCUGCGCCUGUUGCAGAUUUCUUUUUAGCCUUUAGUUCUCCUGCUUUCGCCUGCUUUCGAGCGAGAAAGAGUGCGUCAGUCUUCACCUCCAAUUGCGCAAGCCCUGACAGUUUCAGUCUUUCUCUUGAGAGUUCCCCUCUUCCAAAGCAUCGAUUCCAGCCAUUGGUAGUUCGCUUAAUCCAAUUGAAGAAUAAAGGCCAGCUCGCUUUCUUUCAAGCCAACCUGUUGGAGUUCUUUUCCUUCACCCUGCCAAUCUUUCUGCUUUUGAGCGAGCCCCCAAUUGCAGUUCUCUUUAAGGCAGUUUCAGAAAAAAGGCCUUCUAUGGCGAUAGGUGAAUACGGUCCAGCCAAUAGUUCCUAGGGAGGAGGGGGUCGGUCUUUCUUGUCUCUAAGGGUUUUCCCAAUACCAGCAAUCCCGAGAAUAACGUUAGUUAAGAGCACUAAUAUUAGUAGUAUCAAUACCGAAUGGUCUAAAGCACUAAGGCCUAGCAGGCAGAGUAGGGUUAUAGGGAAGCCCCUCCAUUCAUAAGUGCUAAUUCCUCUAGAGCCAAUCCCAAUCUGUCCUUUAUGGAUAAUAUAAAAAGUAGGUAAAUAGUUAAUAAAUAGUUAACUCAAAGACUUCAAGGGCUAUUGCUAUCAGUGAUACCAAUCUCCUUCCAAGCGAGCUUGCAGACCAUGUGCUUUCCUUGGUUCUCCUUUCUUAUCCUAAUGCUUGCGAGCCUCUUGCAGUUCUCGGGUCAUCUUUAUAGUAAGUCCAUGUACCCGCCUUUCCUUUUUGUAUGGAUGGCUUUAGGAGAUUUAUCACUAGCUGGCCCUUAAAGGUUCUUACUGAAUUUAUUUUGCUUACUUCUCCCUUAAGUACUUUACUUUGCCUUUGCUAAGAAAAAGGCCUAAAAGUUUGUCUUGAUAGGAGUAUCCAUAUGAAGGGUCUAUAGGAUUGAAUCCAAUUGCAAUUCCAUUUAGUCUUUCUUCCCUGAAAGAGUAGUCUAUCUAUUUAGUAUAUCUUUCCCUAGUAAGGAUCUCUUUUUUUGGGGGGCUGUAGAUAUCUUUUCUCUAGGGCUUUCUCUUCCCUUAGAAUAGGCAGCUGCUUUGGUUGAAUACUCGUUAGAGGGGUUGUGCAUAUGUUCUCUCUACAGCCGCUCUCAAGCCAUCAAGAAAAGAAGAAGCUGAUUCUAGGUCAACUAUCCAUUGGAAGUGCCCUAUAAGUCAGUAGGAGUUAUAAGCAAAUCUCAUAGAGCUAUUAGGAGUUCUCUGCCAUCAAUUAUAUGAAAUUUUCCAUGUAAUUCCAGACUAGACAUUUCGUACAUCACUGUCGUCCUCUGCUACUGGGUUUGAUAAAGUGGAUAGCAAUGGGAUGGCAUCUUUCAAUCCGGAUGAAGGUCUUGCAGAGCCUCAAAUUGUUUACCGGAUUCGUGCCCCUUCUUUCUUUGAAGAUAAGAGAUAUGCAAAAGAGCCUUCCCCUCCGUUCCGUUAUGAACGGAAGUCCUUAUCCAUUCCCUUUUGUUAGCCUUGCUUGUCUUAGUGCUUUUAGGAAAGUAGAUGGCAUUCAACCUAAUCAGAAAGUCCUUAUAGAAGAUGCAGGUUACCUUCUUUACUAUUAGUCUCUCUUGAUUGAUAUUUAGCUUUCCAGCCUCUCAUUCUUUGUUUACACAAUGCAAAAAAAACCUAUAAAGGUUUUUGGAUUUGAUUAUAGGUUUUCUUAUCUUAUGAUAUUUCUAGUUAGAGGGGUUUUUUUAAAUGAUAAACCUGGUAAAAAAAAGGCAUAGUCUUGGCACUUGACAGGUGAUAGUUACAUCGAAAAGAAAAAAGCUCUAUAAAACAGUCUUGCUAAAACCUUCUUAGGUCACUUCUUGCCAAAUAAAAAGACAUGAAUGAAGGAGAGAGAUAACGAUGCUAUUCAUGAUGAUCAUAGUAGCUUUGUCUCUUUCUCGAGGAUAACUGUAAUCCAACUUGGGUGAGGCUCCUAUAACUAGGGGAAAAAAGAACGAUCGCAAAUCUCAUGAAUCAAUUCAAAUAGAAAAGGUAAUUUAUUAUUAUAGCACGCAUAGGUGAGAGCAUCCCUACCUCUAAUGGUUUGAUAGUCCUUGCCCUCUAAUGCAUGUCACAUUGGAUUUGCUAGUAUUCCUACGGGGCUGGGCUUACUCAGUAUUCCAAAGAGUAUCCUAAUCCAUGUUGCUAUGGAACUCCCCUUAGUGCCCAUAUAUUGUCGCGGGAAAAAAAGGCAUUCGGAUGCACUUAUAGUCUUCUUACUCUAUCUUACCAGAGUACGCGAGGUUUUUCCAAAGCCAUAGCAAGACCAGAGCACUCUUCCAGAGUUUUCUUUCAAUCUUAUCUAACCAUUGAUAAGAUCUAGACCAAAUACGAGAUGACAUGAUGUUGAAAGUUAACCUGACAGCUUUCUCUUCGAAAGGAAUCGUAGAGACUUUCUGGCAGACGAGCUCAUAGCAUCGGAACAUCAGACCAUAUUUGUGAAACUUUGAUAAUUGGUUUUUUCGAUCCGACCUAAAACACAAGGCAGGAGGAUCAAGGAAGCUCUCAACGUGGAUUGAGAAGUAAACUCUUACCAUGUACCACCACGCGCACCAAUCUACGAUCUCUCUUUCUCAAGAACCUGGUUUGUUUAGGGACUAUUCGAAUAAAAACCAAAUCACCAACUUGGAAUUGUUGAGCCCUACGACCUUUAUUUACCCAUUUCUUCAUUCGCUUCGAUGCUUUCUCCAGGUAGGCUUGUGCAAUCUCCAUGUUUUGUUUUCACUCCUUGUUGAGGUUGAAGGCUCUUAGAUUCUUCCCUCCAUAUUGUUCCAAGAAAGUGUGGGAUAGCUUUGGUAAUUGUCCGGUGACCACCUCAAAUGGGCUCUUGUUAGUGGAAAAGCUUUUGUUGGAAUUAAAGCAAAGUUGAGCAACGUCCAAUAACGAAGGCCAGUUAUUCUGAUUGGCUUGAAUAAAGUGCCUUAAGUAUUCCUCUAAUAAUCCAUUGAACAGUUUCGUUUGACCAUCGAUUUGAGGGUGGUAGCUUGAAGAGAUGUUGAGUUGGGACACUAAUAUAUUGAAAAAUUCUCUCCAAAAAGACCCCGUGAAUCUCGAAUUUCUAUCGUUGACAAUGUUUUGAGGGAGGCUCCAGUAUUUGACCACAUGUUUAAACAAUAGUCAAGCUGUGUCUUCCGCUAUACAUACUUAUGAGCGGGAAUGAAUGUGACGUACUUAGAGAACCGAUCAAUCACCACCAAAAUAGCUCCAAGAUCACCAACCUUAGGUAGGCUUGAAAUGAAAUCAAAAGAGAUGCUUUCCUACGAUCUGGAGGGUACCGAUAGUGGUUCAAGCAUGCUUGCAGGUUUUUUUUUUUCAAUUUUGUCUCAUUGGCAAAUAAGGCAAGUCUUUAUAUAGUCCAUCAUAUCUUAUCGCAUGUAAGGCCAAUAGUAUCCUUGUUUCAAUAAAGCCAAAGUGCGUUGCGAACCCGAAUGUCUAGCCUAUGGUGUGUCAUGACAUUCCCUCAUCAGCAUUUGUCUCAGACCUCCUACUCUUGGCACAAACAAUCGAGGCCCCAUGGUCCAUAAGACCCUAUUUUCUUGCCAGAAGUACUUGGACUUCCCCUCUUCCACUAGCUUCAGGAUGGCACUGGCCUGCGGGUCUUUCCCUAAAUGAUCUUCAAUCAACUUGCGAAUGUCUGUCGUGGCUCUGCUAGCUGCCAUUAGGGCAAUUCUUCUAAGGGUCGUUAACUUUGUUCACCUGCUCAAUGCAUCGGCCAUUUGAUUGAUUUUUCUAGCAGUGUGCUCAAAACAAAAAUUGAACUCCGCUAAAAAUUCUUACCGUCUAGCUUGUUUCACUGUGAGCCUUGGUUGGGUGAAGAAAUGGCUAACGACCAUAUUAUCUGUUUUCAUGAGAAAGUGUGAACCCAACAAAUAAUGUCGCCAAGCCCUUAAGCAGUGAACUACCACCAGGAGCUCUUUUUCCUGGGCCGUAUAUUUCCUCUCAGCUUCGCUUAGCUUUUUACUUUUAAAUGCUAUCAAGUGAUAUUAUUGUAAAUGCACUCCUCCAAUAGCGAAAUCAGAUGCAUCCGUCUGAACUUCGAAAGGCUUUUCAAUAUUAGGGAGAGCUAAGAUGGGAUUUUCAUAAUAGCAUUCUUCAAUCCCUCAAAGGCCUCUUAGCACUCACUUGUCCAACACCAUUUAUGCUCUUUUUCAAUAGCUUCAUGAGGGCCGUGGUCUUACGAGAGUACCCUUUCAUAAACCUUUUAUAAUAGUUGGCUAGUCCUAAAAAUGAACGGAGUUCACUAACAUUCUUCGGUGUUGUCCACUCCUUGAGGGCCCUAACCUUUUCCAUGUCCAUUCGAAUGUGGCCAAGUUCGACAAUGUGAUCGAGAAAGUGGAUUUGGGUCUAAGCAAAUGCACACGUCUCCAUUUUCACGUAUAACUGGUGGUCUUGUAACCUUCGAAGCACCUGACGCAAGUGUUCUUGAUGUUCUUCCAGAGUAGAGCUAUAUACCACUAUGUCGUCUAAAUAGAUGACUACAAAUUUGUCUAGAUAGUCAUGGAACACCUGAUUCAUCAAUGUACAAAAUGUGACAGGAGCAUUGGUCAGUCUAAAGGGCAUAACAAGAAAUUCAAAUGCACCAUAUCGUGUUACACAAGUGGUUUUUGGCUCAUCUCCCUCAACGAUUCUAACCUGAUGGUAGCCAGAUCUCAAGUCCAAUUUGGAAAAGUACUUGGCUCGGCUCAAUUGAUCAAACAAAUCUGCUAUAAGAGGGAUGGGAUAUUUGUUUCUCACGGUGACUUUGUUCAGGGCCCUAUAGUCAACACAUAAUUGUAAACUUCCAUCAUGCUUUUUCUGAAAUAGCACUGGCUCUCUGAAAUGAGCCUUUAAUGGUCUAAUAAAAUCUAACUUGUAGAAGCUCAUCUAACUGUUUCCUUAGUUCGACCAACUCUGGCGGGGCCAUGCGAUAAGGGGCUCUAGCAGGGGGUUUUACUCCUAUGAGGAGCUCAAUUUCAUGGUCCACUACUCGUGGAGGACGUAAAACCUUAGGCAACAUCUCUGGCAUCACCUCUUCGAAUUUUUUCAACACUUUUUUCACCCCAUCGGCUAUCGGUUCCACUCUCAGCCCUUCUUUGUAGAUCGGCAUGGCCACAAAAGAAGGUUCCCCUCUCUUUACCCCUUUCUUGAACUGUAAAGCUAAAAUCAUUUUCUUCCCACUCUUUGGCAGGAUAAUGGCCGGCACCACACGUGGGUGUUCCCCUAAAAACAACAAGCAACUAGCGAUGGGGAUAGGGAUCACCUGAGCCAACAUCAUGAAGUUCAAUCCAAGAACAACAUCAAAGUCAUCCAUGGGUGAAACUGUAAAGUCUACCUUUCAUUCCAAUGGCUCCAAUUUGGUUGUUACAUUCUUAGAGCUUCCACUGAUCGUAAAGGCUGACGAAUUAACUGCCUUCAUUCGUCUACAGUCCUUGCUAACCUAGAGACCACACCUUUUUCCUUCUUCUGGUGUGAUGAAAGUAUCGGUUGCACCCGUAUCUACCAUGACCUCGGUGACCUUCUUAUUGAUCAUUAAGUUUACAUACAUCAAGCCUCUACCCUGCUCUUUCUUUAUUGGGUUCAGUUGGGUGUGGAGGGCAUUGAGGAACCUUAUUGAACCCAUCCUGGCUGGCACCUCUUCAACUUCUUCAACGCUCUCUGGCGCUUUUACGGACUCUUGAAACGAGGCUCUGAAGGCAUUAAGGGCUCCUCUGUGUAGUCAUUCGACCACCCGAAGCGGCCUCUUACAGAGGAAGCAAGCUAGCGGUUGCCUAGGCUUGAAAAUCAUGGCAUUGCUUGUCUUGGGUUAGGUGCUAUCUCGAUCAAAGGACCUCCUGUCUGAUUUCCCACUGAAGGGUCGGUCCAACCUAGUCAUCUUUCCUCCACUCCCAAAGUUGAAGCUACUGCCAGCUGAUGGAGGAUUUUUCUUUUUUGAAGAGCCAUCAUUAUAAUCGUGGAGAUGUUCAGCUGCAGCUAUGGCCAUGGCCACGUCUUGCAUUUUUUAUUUUUGUAGUUCUGUCAUGGCCCAAGGCUUGAGGCCCUCAAGAAAAUCAAACAUCUUGUCCUUUUCGGACAUGUUUCAAAUAUCCAACAUCAGGGUAGAAAAACUUCUUACAAACUCUCGUACUAUUCUUGUGUGCACCAAUUCUCGAAGUCUCCUUCGGGCCAUAUACUCCACAUUCUCAGGGAAAAACUGGUUUUUCAGUUCUUGUUUCAGGUCCGUCCAAGUCUUAAUCAGGCACUCAUUAUUAACAAACUUGGAGUGCCAUCAUAGUUUGGCAUCCUCUGUGAGGUACAUGAUGCCAUUGCUAUCUUGUCUUCCUCUGAAUCUGUGUGUACAGCUCGAAAGUACUACUCCAUGUCAAAUAGGAAGUUUUCAAGCUCCUUGGGAUCCCUUGGCCCCUCAUAGCAUUGAGGCUCUGGCACCUUGGCCUUUUUUCCCCUUUUUCGUCGAGCUCGAACCUGAUCUGGCCAUAGCCAUUUGAAAGAUGCUCACCUGUGCUCUGAACUCCUCAAACUCCUUUUGGAGGAUAUUCAAGGCAUUUCUAGCCUCCUCGCUCACGUUAUGGAGAGUAUCGGAUAACUCCUGCUGGGUUAUCUCGAUCUUUAGUCACCAUGUGAGUUUUCACUGUGGCCACUUCGGCCUCAAGUUUCUAAAUUUUUUGUUGAUAAUUAGGUCCACCACUUGUGGCCAUCUCUUCCAUUUCUAGCACUUCUCAACCGUGCUCUGAUACCACGUGUCACGGACUCGACUUUCCCUCAACAAGCAAUAGCCCGUGUGGCACUUGAAUGGACGCUUCCACCCAAGUUAGCCCUCAAUAGUUCGAUAUCUGAACAAAUAACCAUUAGCUACAGUUAGUCCCUAGCAUACGCAAUAAGACACAUUCAUAUCGAGAUCAAUCUCAAACACACACAAGAAAAUACAUUCACAUCGACAAAAGAAAAACACAUCAAGGCAAUAAUCGCGACAUUAGAAUCGAGGUGAAUUUCAUUAAAAUCGAUGAUGUUACAUCGGGACUUCCCACCAUCGCCAGGGCUAGGGGGCAGCCCUUAGAUGAUGGCUUAGGCCUGUAUCGCGACCGGUGAGAUAGCCCAACAGUAUGCUGCUCGCUUACCCCCUUAAAAAGCCUUAGAGAUUUUAGAGCUAUGUUACCACUAACCAUUACAAUAUUUGAAAUGGGGACAAUUUUCCUAGCACAAGAGAUCUACCCGGUCAUGGCCCUAUACAUGAGUGGCUAACGACAACCUAAGCCUCGGUCAUGGCCUUAUACAAGGUUGGCUCAUGACACUUUGCCUGCCCUUUAUAAUAAGAAAUUCCGGCUCGGCCCGGGAAAGCGCUGGCAACAACAGAAAGGAAGGGGUCCAUGUAACUGCUGCGCCCGCCCCUCUUCAACAUCAAUGGGGCAGCAGGUUCGGCAUCUACUAGAAAAGAGAGAAUCCACUUCAGAUAACCAUGCCUCUGCUAGGCAGCGUGUGGAAUGGCCAAGAGCGGACCUUUUUGGAUAUAUAAUCCAAGUCGAGAGUGGAGUUACGGGAACAGCCGUCUGAUGGAAAACAACUUUCACGUUCGGUUCAGAGAGCACUUUUUUCGUUGAGAAUUCCUCAUUCCCUUUCAUGUGAAUUCCCCAACGGUGAAUUCAAAACUUGUAGGGCCUAUCUAUUCCAUCUCUUGAGCCUAGGGUUGGCAUCGGGUCGGGUUUGGGGCGGAUUUUGCUUGCCCCGAACCCGACCCGAUUUAAUCUUUAUUAAACCCGAACCCGACCAUACCCGAAAUUUUUUUUUAUUUUUCAUACCUGAACCCGAUAUCAUGUAGACCGUACCCGACCUGAUCCGACUCGAAAUUAAUAAAAUAUUAUUUUUUUAAUAUAAAAUAUUUAAAAAUAUCAUUAUAUAAAUAUAUAUUUAUAUAUAAUAAAAAAUUAAAUAAUUAAUUAAAAAAUAAUUUUUUAUAUAAUAUCGAGUCGGGUCGGGUCGGGUUUUUGGCAAACCCGACCUCGAUCCGACCCCGAUUGUUUUCUUAUUUUAUCCAACCCGACCCCGAACCUAACCCGAUACCUGAAUUUCAAAAAAAACUGACCCCGUGAGGUCGGGUCGGGUCGGGCCGGAACCCGUCGGAGACGGGUUAGUUCGCCAUCCCUACUCGAGCCCCGAAGAAAACCCCCUCCCCUUCGGACUCCAUAUCUCUUUUGACUCUAUAUAUGUGGGCACCUGAUAUCUAUGAGGGUUCACCCACCCCGGUUACAGCAUUCCUUUCUAUUGCGCCUAAAAUUUCUAUUUCUGCUAAUAUUUCACGUGUUUCUAUUUAUGGUUCCUAUGGAGCUACAUUGCAACAAAUCUUCUUUUUUUGCAGCAUUGCUUCUAUGAUCUUAGGAGCACUGGCCGCCAUGGCCCAAACGAAAGUAAAAAGACCUCUAGCUCAUAGUUCAAUUGGACAUGUAGGUUAUAUUCGUACUGGUUUCUCAUGUGGAACCAUAGAAGGAAUUCAAUCACUACUAAUUGGUAUCUUUAUUUAUGCAUUAAUGACGAUAAAUGCAUUCGCCAUAGUUUCAGCAUUACGGCAAACCCGUGUCAAAUAUAUAGCGGAUUUGGGCGCUCUAGCCAAAACGAAUCCUAUUUCGGCUAUUACCUUCUCCAUUACUAUGUUCUCAUACGCAGGAACACCCCCGUUAGCCGGCUUUUGUAGCAAAUUCUAUUUGUUCUUCGCCGCUUUGGGUUGUGGGGCUUACUUCCUAGCCCCAGUGGGAGUAGUGACUAGCGUUAUAGGUUGUUGGGCGGCCGGAAGGUUGCCACGAGUAAGUCAGUUUGGGGGGCCGAAGGCCGUUCUCCGUGCACCGGACACGUAGCUUAC